AAAAACCUAAGGGCUCCUUGUAACCAACCCGACCAGUGGCAAAGGCAGUAUUGCCUCAAAUUUUAUGUUGAAUGGAACUUUAACAAAUUUUACUGUUCAUAUGCAUAAGGACAUCUUCAACGCGAAGCCUCAAAUCACUUGCAACUGUUCGGACGGCGCGGUCUGGGCAUGUUUUUGAAAGUGUUAGUCAUCGACUAGAGGGGAUGGGGGCGAACAAGCGAUUUUUAUAAAAGUCUUCGAAAUAGGCAACACCUUCGAAGAUGUGGAAUAAAGCUACACUAGGUGGAAAGUUUUCUCAAAAAGAAACUCAAAAAUAGCAGGGAUAUAUAGGAGAUGAAAUGAUUUACUUGCUCACUAAGAUUUGUUCCUGAAAAAACAUCAUCAUGGGGAUAGCGCAUGUAGCAGACAGUGCAAGGCGCAUGCCAUAGUGUUGUCAGCUGUUGGGUAGGUCCACGCAAGAUUUGAUCUAGGCGACCACGCACCAAACAAACAACCUUUCCAGCCGAAUGCUGCGUCAAGCCACUCCAAAACACGCCCAAAUUAUUAUUAUUUGUUCCAUAAAUAAUCGGAGAGGGGCUCCAAAGCCACGCGAGAAAGCACAGAAUAUACCUUUGAAUACUCCAAAGCGGAGCAAAGCACGGUGGCGAGAAAAGUCCGAGUUCCCAUAUGCUCACGAAUAUGCCAGGGAAGAUGCCCCCUCACUUAGGUCACCGGGCCACCGGAGCUUCCACUCGCCUCGAUCGCCGGUCGACGGAAACCUCGUGCCCUAUAUAUGGAGCCUCACCCGGCGUCUCCCAUGGAGGAACUCCUUCCUCACCUGGGAGGAGCUCCUCCUAGGUAUAUACCCCCCAACAAUGGCCUGACGCCAGCCACUGCUAGCUAGCUGGCGUGUACGUAGCUCCUGUCGGCGACGACCGGCCGGCGACGGCGGUGCGCGGCGGAGGUAUCUAGCUAGCUAGCUAGCUAGGCGGGUGUUAGGCCGUGUAGGGCAACUAUACAUCUUUGGCAAUGUCUUCUUCUUCUUCCUCCUCCUCCGAUGGAUUAUUGGAAGAUUGUAAUGGAGUGUGUAAACUGUGUCCGCAUCCUUCCUAGAGAUUUCACCAUCUUGCGUUUCUACGACCUAUACUAGUGCUCUGUUGUUUCGUUAAAAAAGAGAUAUACUAUAUUACUAGUGGUCUGGUCUGGUUGUGGAGGCUACUGUAUUCCUGUUUGUGGCGAGCUCGUGUUUUUGUCAUGCCAACUUUUUACUGUUGAUUUUUCAGCACUGCAAAAAUGGGUUGUAUAGUAGUACUCCCCAAGUCCCGAGUGCUCCACUAUGUGGCAAUGUCUUGGAUACGGGAAAAUCGGGCGGUAGGGAGCAUCUUCUAUCGAAAAAUAAGAAUCUACGCGUAAUCUCAUGGUGCAUCUACAACAAGGGCCCUGUGUGGAUACAGGUUAGAGUUAGAUUUUAACUCUAGACUAACCCUGAACUAACUCUAACCAAAGAGGUGUUUGGAUGAAAGGGUUAGAUUGCCAAUAAAUGCACUUUUUUCAAUCAUUUGGCUCCUUUAUCUAGGAUUUUGUGUGGUGGAGGAAGAGAGAAAAGUAACUUUUUCUGGACCCCACCCAACUCUAACCCAAAAAAGCAUCUCUUGGAUGGGUUAGAUUUUUUGGAUGGGUUAGAUGCAUCUAACCAACUCUAACCCACCCUGUUUGAAUUUUUAAGGGUUAGAUGAGUUCAAUCUAACCAACUCUAACUCUAACCCUAGGAUCCAAACAGGGCCAAGGUAAGAAGAUGACCGGCCUGGCCUAGCAGUGCAGGCGGUGCGAUUCCGGUCCAAGGGAGUAUUAAUAUUGUCCUUCGACUGUGCAUCAAGUUUGGAUGAGAGCACCUCAAAACCAGAAACGAUAUAAUUCUUCAGUCAAACCUAAGUUUGGGUGGUUUUGGUGGUGACAUGUCUCGGUUUUCACUCAAACGUGACACGGUUGCAUUAUUUGGUCGACCAUACGACAUAGGUUCUUCUUCAUUCUAUCUCACUUCUCUGUCGGGGUCCAAAUCCACGUGUAUAGAGUUCACUCAAUCUUAGGCAUGCAAAUUUGAAACCUUUAGGCCGUGUUUGGGAUGGGUAUAAAGUUAUACGAAGAUGUAUUGUUUACAAGUGUAACUUACUGAUCGUGAACAAUUUCCGGCCCGAAACGAAAUGACCGAUUGAGGCAUGUACUUUUUACGGAGGUAUUUAGAAUGAAAAUGUUGAUCCAAACAGGGCCUUAGGGUGCCCUCCCACCCUGCUUAGUUCAAGCAAAUGAACUAAAAAUAUUAAAGUAAUAUGUUACCGAAAUUUAGUUCAUCUAGUUGAACUAAGGAAGACCGAAGGCUAUCUUCAAGGUUCCAAAUUUGAAUUGCUAAUUAGUCCGCUUGUCAAGGGAUUGGAAGGGAUUUCAAUUCUAACAAGCCUUCGACGAGGGUCCUCACCGAGAGGGAGCGCCAUGCCAUGUGGAGGGAAGAAAGCCGAAUGGCAAUACUAUGAAAACGUUUAGAAACAACCGACAGGUCACAACACAGGUGUCGGUCACCUUCAACGCGCCACGCCCCUUCACUAUUUGCACUUAACUCCGAUGCGUGAGCUAGUCGCCUCUCCUGUGCUACAAAGCUCGUUGCAGACGCUGCUAGCAAGAACGGUUGCAACACCAUCCAAGCCCCUUCACUAUCUGCACUGCCAAGCCCGUUCGCAGCGCUACACUUGACUCGGUCUAUUUUCAACACAGGUUUGGCGAAAUAAACUCUUAAAUCAAAAUUCCGGUCCAUUGCACCCUGAAUUAUGUAAUCCCGGUCUAAAUUAAACCCUGGAGUCGUUUUGCAAACGAGGAUCGUCAACGUAUGAAUGGGAUUGAUGCCAUUUUCGCACUAUUUGUUUCUUGUUGGGCCGACCUGUUUUUGAUUUAUUUUUUUCCUUAUUUAACACGCAUAGAUUUUUUUUAUUUUUUAAAACUGCAAAAAUAAGCACGGAUGGUAACCCGAAUAAAAGACCUCCCUUUUCACAUUGUGUUCGCUUACUCCCUUUUUCUUCCUCUUCUUUUCCUAUUUUAGUUUAUUAUAUCCUUUUUAUUUUUAUUAUGUUUAUAUAUUUUCUGAAAUUCAUGGCCAUCUUAGUAGGAAAUUGAAAACAAAAAAACACCAUGAACCAAAUUUUCAAAAUGAUAAAUGGUCACGAAUUUUCUAAUAUGUUCCCAUAUUUCAGAAUUGUAUGGUCGCUUUGCGAGCUCUCCUGAGAUCGCAUAUGUGCAAGGAAAAAAAUAGCGCGCUAUUUGAAAUAGCGCAGCCUUCAAAAAAACGCUAUGAACGAAAUAGCGUGCUAAUAGCUCGCUAUUUUGCAAAAUAGCGUGUCAUAAAACAUUGUUCAGAUUUCAGCAUAUAGCAACACAAAUGACAGAUUUCAGCAGAGGCGGCAAGAGGAGAGGAGGCUGCGAGCGGAGGAGGCGGCAAGAGGCGGUCGGCCGUGGCUGGAGGAGACGGGAGAAGCACCGGUGGCCGUCGCUGCCGCCGUCGCUCGGUAGGUUUGGUUAAGGAUUUAGGGUUUGCUCGAUAGGUAUGGUCGUCGCUAUAGGUUUGGUCGCCGCUGGUUAGGGUUACUGGACCGGAAAGCCCAAAAGAAUAAUGGGCUGAUGAAAAAUUCGUCCGAAAAAAAUAGCGCCGCGUCGAAAAAAAUAGCACCGAUACGCGCUAUAGCGCGAAAUUACCGUAUUUAGCGUGAAUAGCGUCAUAGCGAGUGAAAUAUGCAUAGCGUAGCGUUUAGUUUUCAAAUACGCUAUUAACGCGCUAUAGCAGCGUUUUAGUGCGCUGGUUUUUUUCCUUGCAUAUGUGCGAUGUUCUUUGCAUCCAAUAGGUAUUUCCUUUAACAAAAAAAUAUUUUCUAAAAAGAUAAAAAAAAACUACAAAUGGGCAGCUUGUGCAAACAUUUUCUGAAUUUCUAACAAUUUUUGGCAAUAGGAACAUUUUUGUUAAUAUGUGUGCAAAUUAUGAAAUUCUGAAAAAAAACCAUAAACCACGAACAUAUUUUGUAUUUUUCAGAACAUAUUGGGAAUAUGAAACAUUUCCUGAUAUUCCAAACAUAAAUUUAUAACUGCGGACAUUUUCUCAAUUUCUGAACAAUUUUCGGCAACAGGCAUAUUUUUCUAACAUAUGUACGAAUUAUGAAAUUCUGAACAAAUUUUGAAAACAAAAACAUCUGUUGAAGUUUUUUAAAAAACAUUUUUGAAAUGGAACAUUUCCUGAUAUUCUGAACAAAAAAUUAUAACUGCAGACAUUUUCAGACGAAUCUCAAUUGACACGGUGUCAGGAUUCGAUUUAGACCGGGGUUGUAUAGUUGAGGGUGUAAUCAACAGGAAUUUCAACUUGAGGGUUCAUUCCGCCUGACCAAUACAAGUUCAAGGUUUAAAUUGGACUUUUUCGGCUCCAGCAAAGCAAUGCUUCACGAGCACUGCAAACUUGGCAAUCUCUGUCGCAAACACAUCAACAACAUGCUGAUCGAGUGCUUCAACGGGUUGCAACAUCGGUGGGUUGUGGCCAACGGAGAGAGCAGAGCUGGUGCUUCAACCACUACAGCCAAACAAACAGCGGCGAUGCUAACGGUUGGGAGGGGUGAUUAAGAAGCGCCUGAUAAUCUCAACUUCUCAAGAAGUGAGCCUGGAUAUUAUACAAAUCACAUUACAUAAAAACAGCAGACCAAUGGUAUGGCAAUACGAUAAAAACUAAAAUACCUUAGUUAUAAGCUGACAAACAACCAAGGAGAUCACAGGCUCCAAACUGCAGUGAGCCAAGCAGAUUGGUAGACUUAAACCUCUUCAGCAUCUAACUCGAUGGAACAACAUAAUAUUGCAUAUAGAUUUUUCAGAAUUAACCACAGGCACAGCUCAUAGUUUUCAAACAAAGACACCCAAUCCCAAAGUGCAUAACAGAUUCCAGAAUAACUCAACAAGCAACGGCAGCUAGUCAGACAAAAAAAAGACAACUUAGGUGUUCCUUGGGAAAUAUCCUACUAACACAUCUCAGGUACUUUCAUCGAAUUUUCAUUUUCCAUUUUCAGUAGAAAAAGCCUAGCACUUUGCCACCAACAUUCUUACGCCUAGCCUCCUCAUGGUCCAUGAUCCCAGCAGAAGUUGUCAGCACAAUGUAACCAAACUGCAAAUCAGGUUGGAGAAUGUACACCGAGUUAAUGAUCAGUCAUCAGCAACACAAUUAUGGUUUAUGGAUAUCAAGUUCCAGCCAAGAUGCAACAAUAUGUAGCAAGUCAAAGCAAACUGACCUGACGAGAAGGAAGAAGCCUUGCAGUCCAUCCCUCAAUCUCCUUGACACCAACAUCAAAGCGAGGACUGAUGACACCACACUUGUUCAGCCUGCCAUUCAAUUCAACCACGAUCUUGCCAGACCUGUGAUCAUCAACAUACUCAAGCUCGCCAAUGUAUCCUACAAUACAUUGAACAGAGUCAGCUACAGAUUCUCAGAGAGCAACGACAAAACAGAAUAUGCAGUUUAGAACUAACCGUGCUUCUGCAUGACGAUAAGGAACUUGAUAAUGACCUUGGAAGAAGGCCUGAUCAUGACCUGCCUCUUCCCACGCUUCUCAGCGUUGUACAUGCUCUUGAGAGCAUCAUUCAGCACACUGACUCUCACCAUCCUUACCUGCAGAAUAAUAACAGACUUUAGAAACCAAACGAAAGUGGGGAAAAAGGACUACAUGCCUUGCAAGCAAGUACCAAUGGAACAGUUUUGACAUUUCAACACUCCUAAUAUUUCAAUAUAGCAAGGUCUACUUAGAACAAGAAUGUAAAAAAUGUUAGUAUGUUACACUAUUCCAUCCAUUUAAAGGAAGUGGUCCUACAUAUGCAAGUGCUAACAAUUACCAGACCUUAGCUAAGAUAUGAGUUUAUUAAACUAGUUCAAUAUGUUACACUAUUCCAUCCAUUUAAAGGAAGUAGUCCUACAUAUGCAAGUGCUACCAAUUACCAGAGCUUAACUAAGAUAUGAGUUUACUCAACUUGUUCAAUGAUAUCUGCAUGCAAGUCAAAGCAAGUUCUACAGUACACAAGCAGAUAGGAUGAUUGGCAACUAGCUACUCAAGCAAAAGUGAAUCACGUUCCAAAUGGAAUCAUGAACAAACCUGUGAUGCAUUUAACAAAGCAACUAGGUGGAUACACAAUUAAGCAUAUAAACAUCUGAACUGACAGAAAAAAACGUACAUCAUUCCUUAAGACGUAUACACGACGCAUGGCGAUAUGACCACCCAAGAAAGGUUCACGGUCAGCUCGCUAAAGAUUUAACAAGCCAAAACAUUUCACGGCGUUUGAAAACAGGUGCAUCUCCUCAGGUUAAUCUCAUCCCAACGAUGCAACGAAGCAAAAUAAAACUAAUUUCAUUUCUCGCAUUUCACCGGCGAAAAUCACAGGCCGCACACAAAAUUCAGCAGAGCGCUCCCCAGCAAACUAUUCAUUCUAACGCACCAAACUGCGACAAAUCUCCAACCACAUGAACAUGGUAAACAGGCAGGAAAACACCUACACGACAUCAAUGGUUAACCAGGGCUCUCUACAACUACAGAUUCUCUUGAUCCUGCAUCGCUCCCAGAUCAAACCAAGGCACCCGAUGCUCACAAGAUAUCAGCCACACUGGGAUAAACAAGAAGCUUGCAGCUCGCCGGGAAAAAAGGUAGAGACACACCGCGCCGCCGUAAAACUAGAGAUCCGGAAUAGCUACGCGCCGAUCUAGGGAACAAUCGGAAGGGAGGGGGAGGAGGGGCAGGGAGGGAUCGGGGCGACGUGCUUCCGCGAGUGGUACCUCUAGGGAGCGAGCCGAGCUCUGGCCGUGGCGGCGGCGGCGGCGGCGGCGGCGUCUGCGGAGCGAGAGCGGCAAGCAGGAAGGCGACGGCGCAAGGGGGAGUUCCGCGAGAGCGUUUGGGAGAUUAAAAAGGGUGGAAGGAUAGCGUGCCCGCGGUUGGAUCCGAAUCUGACGGUGGUCGUUCGCUUCGAGGUGGUUUGCCCUAGAAUGGCUCCAGUCCCUCCCCUGGUGCUCCCAUAUGGGCCCUACAAACACGGCCUUUCUGUGGUAACCCAGCUCGAACGGCCCAUGUGAGACGUCUCUGUAAUGGGCCCGGCAUCUCUCUCGUCCGUAAAAACGUAGGGCAUCCUCUUCCUGCAUUGCUGCUGCUGUGUUUUUCUUUUUCAGUUGUGCUCUCGUGUAUUGCUGAUAUUGCAAAAAAACGAAAGUUCUUGUACAAGAGAAAUAUCCUUCUUGCUCCCCCACAGAAUUGUCUUUAAAAUGCAGAUUAGCUUUAUACUCCCCCCGUUCGAAAAUAAUUGUUAUAGGAAUGGAUGAAUCUAGAUGUAUUUCAGUUCCGGAUACAUCCAUUUUCAUCAAUUUAUGCAACAAAUAAUUUCAGAUGGAGGACGUAUUAAUUUGAUCCAAAUAAGAAACUUGUUAUGCGUUUUUUUAUGCGGUCAUGGUGACAUGGUGCAAUGUUCCGUUGUGUGUUGCCAUAUGAAUAAUUAUCAUGCCUCUAAUAGUUACUAGCAAAAGGGCCCAUGCGUUGCAACGGGAGAAAGAAAUACCACACGACACAUGCUCUUAAUUUAUAAAAAAAUGUCUAUAAUUUAAGAAUUUAUAGUUACGAUACAAAUAAAGAUGGUCUUAUCCUACAAAAGGCAGUUCAAAAUUUCACAGGUCUUCUAUUUUAACACGGCUUGCAUGUAGAUUUAAUACGUACAAAGAAUCAGUCAAGUGACCUUCAGUUUCAUCUUUAAUCCUGAUUUUGUUGACGUGUUCAUUCCCAACCCGGAUCAGUACCGGUAUGAAAGAAAGACGAAUAAUGACUUAUUUAUUAAGAUUGCACCCUAAAUAGUAUUUUUAUUAAACGUUUAAUAGAUAAAAUAAUAUGAUAUUUAAAUUCUACAUAUUUUUCUAAUCAAAUUCCAUGUAUAAUAUGUUAAAUUUGGAGUUACGGUUUAAAAGAUAUGAGUAUUUUAAAAAAUAUUUAAUAUAUACUACGAGUUUAAUGUCAUAAACAGUAAGGGCUUUUUUGUAAAAUCACCUCGCUGAGUUUUCCGACGGAAGCGAUAGCCUCUUUAUUAUUAGGUAAAGAUAGUUUGGUACUCGUGGGUUAUGCUGAGGUGUUUUUAUUUGAUUAGAAUGUACUUAGCCAACAUCCUUGCACCAAUCACUUCAGAUGAAUUUUAUCCAUUGAUGGCAUGGCAGAGCAUGGGCGCCUACCAUCCCUUUAUUGUUGCAACGGUUUGGGAAGGAAGAGUAUGGGAACUGCUAAGAGGUGUGUUGUUAGAUAUCAUAGAAUGUUAAAUGUGUUGUUUUCUAUCUUCGAGGACUAUUAUUUGUUACUAACCUUAGACGACUCACUUUUACAUUUUACACAGAGUCUAUCAAUAUAUAGCAAAUAGUUAGUUGACAACAUCGAAGGUGCGGGUGGACCAGCAUGUGUUCAAAUGAGCUGGAUUCUAUGGUGCAUGUUGGCUAGCUUUUUGUUCAUGUCUAGACGAAAUAUUGUUGGGGAACGUCGCAUGGGAAACAAAAAAAAUUCUACGCGCACGAAGACCUAUCAUGGUGAUGUCCAUCUACAAGAGGGGUUGUGUAAUCUACGUACCCUUGUAGACCGUACAGCAGAAGCGUUAGUGAACGCGGUUGAUGUAGUGGAACGUCCUCACGUCCCUCAAUCCGCCCCGCGAACCGUCCUGCGAUCAGUCCCACGAUCUAGUGCCGAACGGACGGCACCUCCGCGUUCAGCACACGUACAGCUCGACGAUGAUCUCGGCCUUCUUGAUCCAGCAAGAGAGACGGAGAGGUAGAAGAGUUCUCCGGCAGCGUGACGGCGCUCCGGAGGUUGGUGAUGAUCUUGUCUCAGCAGGGUUCCGCCCGAGCUCCGUAGAAACGCGAUCUAGAGGAAAAACCAUGGAGGUAGGUGGUCGGGCUGCCGUGGAAAAGUCGUCUCAAAUCAGCCCUAAAACCUCCGUAUAUAUAGGGGGAAGAGAGGGAGCCUUGCCUUGGGGCUCAAGGAGCCCCAAGGGGGUCGGCCGAGCCAAGGGGGGAAGGUCUCCCCCCCCGAAACCGAGUCCAACUUGGUUUGGUGGGUGGAGUCCUUCUUCCCUUUCCCACCUCCUCCUUUUUUUUCUUUUCUCUUUGAUUUUCUUCCUAUGGCGCAUAGGGCCUUCUUGGGCUGUCCCACCAGCCCACUAAGGGCUGGUGUGCCACCCCCAAGGCCUAUGGGCUUCCCCGGGGUGGGUUGACCCCCCCCCCGGUGAACUCCCGGUACAUUCCCGUUAACUCCGAAAACCUUCCGGUAAUCAAAUGAGGUCAUCCUAUAUAUCAAUCUUCGUUUCCGGACCAUUCCGGAAACCCUCGUGACGUCCGUGAUCUCAUCCGGGACUCCGAACAACAUUCGAUAACCAACCAUAUAACUCAAAUACGCAUAAAACAACGUCGAACCUUAAGUGUGCAGACCCUGCGGGUUCGAGAACUAUGUAGACAUGACCCGAGAGACUCCUCGGUCGAUAUCCAGUAGAGGGACCUGGAUGCCCAUAUUGGAUCCUACAUAUUCUACGAAGAUCUUAUCGUUUGAACCUCAGUGCCAAGGAUUCAUAUAAUCCCGUAUGUCAUUCCCUUUGUCCUUCAGUAUGUUACUUGCCCGAGAUUCGAUCGUUAGUAUCCGCAUACCUAUUUCAAUCUCAUUUACCGGCAAGUCUCUUUACUCGUUCCGUAAUACAAGAUCCCGCAACUUACACUAAGUCACAUUGCUUGCAAGGCUUGUGUGUGAUGUUGUAUUACCCAGUGGGCCCCGAGAUACCUCUCCGUCACACGGAGUGACAAAUCCCAGUCUUGAUCCAUACUAACCCAACGAACACCUUCGGAGAUACCUGUAGAUCAUCUUUAUAGUCACCCAGUUACGUUGCGACGUUUGAUACACAUAAAGUAUUCCUCCGGUGUUAGUGAGUUAUAUGAUCUCAUGGUCAUAGGAACAAAUACCUGACACGCAGAAAAACAGUAGCAACAAAAUGACACGAUCAACAUGCUACGUCUAUUAGUUUGGGUCUAGUCCAUCACGUGAUUCUCCUAAUGACGUGAUCCAGUUAUCAAGCAACCUUUUACGGCGAGCUCUUCGUCACCUCCAUACACGAGAAACAUCUCCUUAGUCCUUUUCAGGUACUUCAGGAUAUUCUUGACCGCCGUCAAGUGAUCCACUCCUGGAUUACUCUGGAACCUACCUGCCAUACUUAUGGCCAGGCCAAUGUCCGGUCUAGUGCACAGCAUUGCAUACAUGAUAGAACCUAUGGCUGAAGCAUAGGGGACGGUGCGCAUAUGCUCUCUAUCCUCAUCAGUUGCUGGGCACUGAGUCUUACUCAAUCUCGUACCUUGUAAAACUGGCAAGAACCCUUUCUUGGACUGUUCCAUUUUGAACCUCUUCAAAACUUUAUCAAGGUAUGUGCUUUGUGAAAGUCCUAUCAGGCGUUUUGAUCUAUCCCUGUAGAUCUUAAUGCCUAGAAUGUAAGCAGCUUCUCCUAGGUCCUUCAUAGAGAAACUUUUAUUCAAGUAAUCCUUUAUGCUCUCCAAAAACUCUACGUUGUUUCCAAUCAGCAAUAUGGCAUCCACAUAUAAUAUUAGAAACGCCACAGAGCUACCACUCACUUUCUUGUAAAUACAAGAUUCUCCAACCACUUGUAUAAACCCAAAUGCUUUGAUCACCUCAUCAAAGCGUUUGUUCCAACUCCGAGAUGCUUGCACCAGUCCAUAAAUGGAUCGCUGGAGCUUGCACACCUUGUUAGCAUUCUUAGGAUCGACAAAACCUUCGGGUUGUACCAUAUACAACUCUUCCUUAAGGAAACCGUUAAGGAACGCCGUUUUGACAUCCAUCUGCCAGAUUUCAUAAUCGAAAAAUGCAGCUAUUGCUAACAUGAUUCGGACGGACUUAAGCAUCGCUACGGGUGAGAAUGUCUCAUCGUAGUCAACUCCUUGAACUUGUGAAAAACCCUUUGCCACAAGUCGAGCUUUAUAAACGGUCACAUUGCCGUCAGCGUCCGUCUUCCUCUUAAAGAUCCAUUUGUUCUGAAUAGCCUUGCGGCCCUCAGGCAGUACCUCCAAAGUCCACACUUUGUUCUCAUACAUGGACCCUAUCUCGGACUUCAUGGCUUCUAGCCAUUUGUUUGAAUCUGGGCCCACCAUUGUUUCUUCAUAAUUUGCAGGUUCAAUGUUGUCCAACAACAUGAUUGAUAAGACGGGAUUACCAUACCACUCUGGAGCAGCACGUGGUCUCGUCGACCUGCGUGGUUCGACAGAAACUUGAACCGGAGUUUCAUGAUCAUUAUCAUUAACUUCUUCCUCAACCGGCGUCGCAACGACAGAGGUUUCCCCUUGCCCUGCGCCACCAUCCAGAGGGAUGAGAGGUUCGACAACCUCGUCAAGUUCUAUCUUCCUCCCACUCAAUUCUCUCGAGAGAAACUCCUUCUCGAGAAAAGCUCCGAUUUUAGCAACAAACACUUUGCCCUCGGAUUUGAGAUAGAAGGUGUACCCAAUUGUCUCUUUUGGGUAACCUAUGAAGACGCACCUUUCCGCUUUGGGUUCCAGCUUUUCAGGCUGAAGCUUUUUGACAUAAGCAUCACAUCCCCAAACUUUAAGAAACGACAACUUUGGCCUUUUGCCAUACCACAGUUCGUAUGGUGUCGUCUCAACGGAUUUUGAUGGUGCCCUAUUUAAAGUGAAUGCAGCUGUUUCUAAUGCAUAACCCCAAAACGAUAAUGGCAAAUCGGUAAGAGACAUCAUAGAUCGCACCAUCUCUAAUAAAGUACGAUUACGACGUUCGGACACACCAUUACGCUGUGGUGUUCCAGGCGGUGUCAACUGUGAACCAAUUCCACAUUGUCUUAAGUGAGCACCAAACUCGAAACUCAGAUAUUCACCCCCACGAUCACACCGUAGGAACUUGAUCUUCUUGUUACGAUGAUUUUCAACUUCACUCUAAAAUUGCUUGAACUUUUCAAAUGUUUCAGACUUGUGCUUCAUUAAGUAGACAUAACCAUAUCUACUCAAAUCGUUAGUGAAGGUGAGAAAAUAACGAUAUCCACCGCGUGCCUCUACGCUCAUCGGACCACACACAUUGGUAUGUAUGAUUUCCAACAAGUCACUUGCACGCUCCAUUGUUCCGGAGAACGAAGUUUUAGUCAUCUUGCCCAUGAGGCAUGGUUCGCACGUGUCAAGUGAAUCAAAGUCAAGUGACUCCAAAAGUCCAUCGGCAUGGAGUUUCUUCAUGCGCUUUACACCAAUAUGACCUAAGCGGCAGUGCCACAAAAAUAUGGCGCUAUCAUUGUUAACUCUAACUCUUUUGGUCUCAAUGUUAUGUAUGUGUGUAUCGCUAUCAAGACUCAAUAUGAACAAUCCUCUCACAUUGGGUGCAUGGCCAUAAAAGAUGUUACUCAUAGAAAUAGAACAACCAUUAUUCUCUGACUUAAAAGAGUAACCGUCUCGCAUUAAACAAGAUCCAGAUAUAAUGUUCAUGCUCAACGCAGGCACUAAAUAACAAUGAUUCAAGUUCAUAACUAAUCCUGAUGGUAACUGAAGUGAAACUGUGCCGACGGCGAUUGCAUCAACCUUGGAACAAUUUCUUACGCGCAUCGUCACUUCAUCUUUCGCCAGCCUUCGUCUAUUCCGCAGUUCCUGUUUCGAGUUGCAAAUAUGAGCAACAGAACCGGUAUCGAAUACCCAGGCACUACUACGAGAGCCGGUUAAGUACACAUCAAUAACAUGUAUAUCAAAUAUACCUGAUUUUUCUUUGGCCGCCUUCUUAUCUGCCAGAUACUUGGGGCAAUUGCGCUUCCAGCGACCCAUACCCUUGCAAUAGUAACACUCUGUUUUAGGCUUAGGUCCAGCUUUGGAUUUCUUCGUCGGAUUGGCAACAGGCUUGCCGCUCUUCUUUGAAUUACCCUUCUUGCCUUUGCCGUUUCUCUUGAAACUAGUGGUCUUAUUCACCAUCAACACUUGAUGCUCUUUGCGGAGUUCAGACUUUGCGACUUUCAGCAUCGCAAACAACUUGCCGGGAGACUUGUUCAUCCCUUGCAUGUUGUAGUUCAACACAAAGCCUUUAUAGCUUGGCGGCAGUGAUUGAAGGAUUCUGUCAGUGAUAGCCUCUUGCGGGAGUUCAAUCCCCAACUCAGCUAGACGGUUGACUACCCAGACAUUUUGAACACAUGUUCACUGACAGACGAGUUCUCCUCCAUCUUGCAAGCAUAGAAUUUGUCGGAGGUCUCAUACCUCUCGAUCCGGGCGUUCUUCUGAAAGAUAAACUUCAACUCCUGGAACAUCUCAAAUGCUCCAUGACGCUCAAAGCGACGUUGAAGUCCCGGUUCUAAGCCAUACAAGACUGCACAUUGAACUACUCAGUAGUCCUCCUUACAUGCUAACCAAGCGUUCUUAACAUCCUGAUCAGCCGUAACGGGUGGUUCAUCUCCUAGUGCAACAUUAAGGACAUAAUCCUUCUUCCCAGCUUGUAAGAUUAGCUUAAGAUUACGAGCCCAGUCUACAAAGUUGCUUCCAUCAUCUUUCAACUUAGCUUUCUCUAGGAACGUAUUAAAAUCCAGGGUGACUGUCGCGUGAGCCAUGGUCUACAACACAAAUAUAUUCAAAGUGGACUUAGACUAUGUUCAAGAUAAUUAGAGUUUAACUUAAUCAAAUUAUUCGCUAAACUCCCACUCAAAAAGUACAUCUCUCUAGUCAUUUGAGUGGUUCAUGAUCCACUUACACUAGCUCAAGUCCGAUCACGUGAGUUGAGCAUAGUUUCAGUGGUAAGCAUCCCUAUGCUAAUCAUAUCAUCUAUAUGAUUCAUGAUCGACCUUUCGGUCUCAUGUGUUCCGAGGCCAUGUCUGCACAUGCUAGGCUCGUCAAGCUUAACCCGAGUGUUCCGCGUGCGCAACUGUUUUGCACCCGUUGUAUGUGAACGUUGAGUCUAUCACACCCGAUCAUCACGUGGUGUCUCGAAACGACGAACUAUAGCAACGAUGCACAGUCGGGGAGAACAUAAUUUCGUCUUGAAAUUUUAGUAAGAGAUCACCUCAUAAUGCUACCGUCGUUCUAAGCAAAAUAAGGUGCAUAAAAGGAUUAACAUCACAUGCAAUUCAUAAGUGACAUGAUAUGGCCAUCAUCACGUGCUCCUUGAUCUCCAUCACCAAAGCACCGGCACGAUCUUCUUGUCACCGGCGCCGCACCAUGAUCUCCAUCAACGUGUCGCCAUCGGGGUUGUGGUGCUACUCAUGCUAUUACUACUAAAGCUACAUCCUAGCAAAAUAGUAAACGCAUCUGCAAGCACAAACGUUAGUAUAAAGACAACCCUAUGGCUCCUGCCGGUUGCCGUACCAUCGACGUGCAAGUCGAUAUUAUCUAUUACAACAUGAUCAUCUCAUACAUCCAAUAUAUCACAUCACAUCGUUGGCCAUAUCACAUCAUAAGCAUACCCUGCAAAAACAAGUUAGACGUCCUCUAAUUUUGUUGUUGCAUGUUUUACGUGGUGACCAUGGGUAUCUAGUAGGAUCGCAUCUUACUUACGCAAACACCACAACGGAGAUAUAUGAGUUGCUAUUUAACCUCAUCCAAGGACCUCCUCGGUCAAAUCCGAUUCAACUAAAGUUGGAGAAACUGACGCUUGCCAGUCAUCUUUGAGCAACGGGGUUACUCGUAGCGAUGGAACAAGUCUCUCGUAAGCGUACGAGUAAUGUCGGUCCAAGCCGCUUCAAUCCAACAAUACCGCGGAAUCAAGAAAAGACUAAGGAGGGCAGCAAAACGCACAUCACCGCCCACAAAAACUUUUGUGUUCUACUCGAGAAGACAUCUACGCAUGAACCUAGCUCAUGAUGCCACUGUUGGGGAACGUCGCAUGGGGAACAAAAAAUUUCCUACGCGCACGAAGACCUAUCAUGGUGAUGUCCAUAUACAAGAGGGGAUGUAUGAUCUACGUACCCUUGUAGACCGUACAGCAGAAGCGUUAGUGAACGCGGUUGAUGUAGUGGAACGUCCUCACGUCCCUCGAUCCGCCCCGCGAACCGUCCUGCGAUCAGUCCCACGAUCUAGUGUCGAACGGACGGCACCUCCGCGUUCAGCACACGUACAGCUCGACGAUGAUCUCGGCCUUCUUGAUCCAGCAAGAGAGACGGAGAGGUAGAAGAGUUAUCCGGCAGCGUGACGGCGCUCCGGAGGUUGGUGAUGAUCUUGUCUCAGCAGGGCUCCGCCCGAGCUCCGCAGAAACGCGAUCUAGAAGAAAAACCGUGGAGGUAUGUGGUCGGGCUGCCGUGGAAAAGUCGUCUCAAAUCAGCCCUAAGACCUCCGUAUAUAUAGGGGGAAGAGGGGGAGCCUUGCCUUGGGGCUCAAGGAGCCCCAAGGGGGUCGGCCGAGCCAAGGGUGGAAGGUCUCCCCCCCCCCAAACCGAGUCCAACUUGGUUUGGUGGGUGGAGUCCUUCUUCCCUUUCCCACCUCCUCAUUUUUUUUCUUUUCUCUUUGAUUAUCUUCCUAUGGCGCAUAGGGCCUUCUUGGGCUGUCCCACCAGCCCACUAAGGGCUGGUGUGCCACCCCCAAGGCCUAUGGGCUUCCCCGGGGUGGGUUGCCCCCCCGGUGAACUCCCGGAACCCAUCCGUCAUUCCCGAUAACUCCGAAAACCUUCCGGUAAUCAAAUGAGGUCAUCCUAUAUAUCAAUCUUUGUUUCCGGACCAUUCCGGAAAUCCUCGUGACGUCCGUGAUCUCAUACGGGACUCCGAACAACAUUCGGUAACCAACCAUAUAACUCAAAUACGCAUAAAACAACGUCGAACCUUAAGUGUGCAGACCUUGCGGGUUCGAGAACUAUGUAGACAUGACCCGAGAGACUCCUCGGUCAAUAUCCAAUAGAGGGACCUGGAUGCCCAUAUUGGAUCCUACAUAUUCUACGAAGAUCUUAUCGUUUGAACCUCAGUGCCAAGGAUUUAUAUAAUCCCGUAUGUCAUUCCCUUUGUCCUUCGGUAUGUUACUUGCCCGAGAUUCGAUCGUCAGUAUCCGCAUACCUAUUUCAAUCUCGUUUACCGGCAAGUCUCUUUACUCGUUCCGUAAUACAAGAUCCCGCAACUUACACUAAGUCACAUUGCUUGCAAGGCUUGUGUGUGAUGUUGUAUUACCGAGUGGGCCCCGAGAUACCUCUCCGUCACACGGAGUGACAAAUCCCAGUCUUGAUCCAUACUAACCCAACGAACACCUUCGGAGAUACGUGUAGAUCAUCUUUAUAGUCACCCAGUUACGUUGCGACGUUUGAUACACACAAAGUAUUCCUCCGGUGUUAGUGAGUUAUAUGAUCUCAUGGUCAUAGGAACAAAUACUUAACACGUAGAAAAACAGUAGCAACAAAAUGACACGAUCAACAUGCUACGUCUAUUAGUUUGGGUCUAGUCCAUCACGUGAUUCUCCUAAUGACGUGAUCCAGUUAUCAAGAAACAACACUUUGUUCAUAAUCAGAAGACACUGACUAUCUUUGAUCAACUGGCUAGCCAACUAGAGGCUUGCUAGGGACAGUGUUUUGUCUAUGUAUCCACACAUGUAAACGAGUCUUCAUUCAAUACAAUUAUAGCAUGGAUAAUAAACGAUUAUCUUGAUACAGGAAUUAUAAUAAUAACCAUAUUUAUUAUUGCCUCUAGGGCAUAACUCCAACAAAUAUAUGGGGAGAGAUGAGGCCACUAGAGAUGCCAUUACACUUACAAGGUAAAAUAUGAUCUAGACCAUUAGAUCUAUUGAAAGGACGUGGAUGUCGUCUAGAGGGGAGGGGGUGAAUAGGCGCUUUAAAAUAAUUAAGAUUUAGGCUUGAACAAAUGCGGAAUAAAACUAACGUUUAAUUUGUCAAGCACAAAACCUACAAACAACUAGCUCACCUAUGUGCACCAACAACUUAUGUUAAGCAAGAUAAACAACUAAGUGAUAGCAAGAUAUAUUACAAUAAACAAUAUGUCUAUCACAAAGUAAAGUGCAUAAGUAAAGGGUUCAGGUAAGAGAUAACCGAGGCACGGGGAGACGAUGAUGUAUCCCGAAGUUCACACCCUUGCGGAUGCUAAUCUCCGUUGGAGCGGUGUGGAGACACAAUGCUCCCCAAGAUGCCACUAAGGCCACCGUAAUCUCCUCACGUCCUCGCACAAUGCAAGAUGCCGUGAUUCCACUAAGGGACCCUUGAGGGCGGUCACCGAACCCGUACAAAUGGCAAACCUUGGGGCGGUCACCGAACCCGUACACGUGGCAACCCUUGGGGGCGGUUACCAGUACCCGUACAAAUUGCUCGGGGCAAUCUCCACAACCUAAUUGGAGACCCCGACGCUUGCCCGGAGCUUCACACCACAAUGAUUGAGCUCCGAGACACCACCAAGCUUCUAGGACGCCAAAGCAUCCACGAAGAACAAUAUCUAGGGUACUAAGUACCAAAGGUAGUAAGCUUCUCAACUUCUCACUUCCACGUAUCAUCGUGGAGAACUCAAACCGAUGCAACUAAUGCAAUGGCAAGAACACACGAAGUGGUCAAGUCCCUCACACUCAAAUCCCUCCACAACAACGAAAGCUAUGGAGAAAUAUGAGAGGAAGAACAAGGAGCUCGCAAAGAACUCCAAGAUCUAGAUCCAAGGGUUCCCCUCACAUAGAGGAGAACGUGAUUGGUAGAGAUGUGGAUCUAGAUCUCCUCUCUCUUUUCCCUCAAGAACAAGCAAGAAUCAUUGGAGGGAUUGAGAGUUAGCAAGCUCUAAGAAUGUCAACAAUGGAGGUAGAACAAGAGCUCAACAGAUGGAUAAGACCAAGGGGGAAGAAGACCCCCUUUAUAUAGUGGGGGAAGGAAUCAGACCGUUACCCCCACUUAUAGCCCGAGCCCAGCGGUACUACCGCUGGCUCCAGCGGUACCAGCGCUGGCUCCAGCGGUACCACUACCGACCCUCCGGCGGUACUACCGCUGGCUGCAGCGGUACUACCGCUGAUCCUCCAACGGUACAACCGCUGGCUGCAGCGGUACUACCGCUGAGCCCAUGGUAGCGCAAAGAUGCUACCAGGCCAACCACCGCCAAGAAAGUCUUCGCAAAAAGUCCGAUGCAGUACAACCGCAAAGAUGACGGUACUAAAGUCCUGGAGCGGUACUACCGCUGACCAGAGGCGGUACUACCGUUGGGCCAGCGGUACUACCGCCAGCUCUAACGGUACUACCUCUAGGGCCAACAGUACUACCGCCAGCUCUAGCGGUACUACCGCUAGGGCCCGUGGCACUACCGCUCGCCACUGAAACAGCCAUAACUUUCGCAUACGAGCUCUGAAUCGAGCAAACCCAAGCUUGUUGGAUUCAGGACGACAAGAGCAAUCCAAACAGUGAUGCUGAUAUGAAAAUGCCAAUGAUCUAGAGAUGUGAGACCUCUAUGAAUGAAGAACCGACAAAAACUCCAACAUCGAAAACAUCAUAGUAGUUGCAUAUGGACUCCGUUUUCGAUGAACUCGAGCUUGUCAUGAAGAUGACCAUAAUCUCUAAAACUCACAAAGAGAACCACCAAAUAAGAACCAAGAAGUAUCAUGCAAGGAUGCAAAUGGUUUGAGCUCUCAACGAACGAUACGAUCAAGCUAAUCACUUGAGAGCCCCCCUUGUCAGUACAACAUUCUAUCCUAAACAGAAAAGCUAACAAGGGCAAACAUAUACCUUGCACCUCGACCUCUUGAGCUAGAUGAUGAUGAUCUUGGCUUCCUCAAGAUGGACCACCUUUCUUGAUUGUGUUGGCUUGAUGAAGACUAGUUGAUUGCUCCCCCAUACUCACUAUGGGUGAGCCACUCUUCAGCAUACCUUCACAACUCCAUUGCCACCACAAUGGACGGCAAGCUUCAAGCACGAUAUAUUCAUGCUGAUCCUCUUGAACUUGCACACCGCAAUCUUGAUGACGAUCACCACUUGACGUCAUCCUUCAUGGGUUGUAUGAGAUCUUCCUUUUGAUGCAAGCCCAUGGAAACACACCUAACCCACACAUAGAACUCUCACGAAGAUCAUGGGUUAGUACACAAACACGUAAUGAACAAUGCUUACCAUACCAUGGGAUCACUUGAUCCCUCUCGGUACAUCUUGUACGCUUUGUGUGUUGAUCAUCUUAAUUUACUCUUUGUCUGAGAUCUUGAUCAACCUUGUGUCUCUAUGACCAUUAUUUGGAUAAUACCUUAAAUACUAUCUUGGUCAUCAUAUAAACUCCUUGAACCCAACAGAUGGACUUCAAGAAGUGCUUAUGGACAAAUCCUAUAAAUAUAACUUAAGGCAACCAUUAGCCCAUAGGAAUUGUCAUCAAUUACCAAAACCACAUAUGAAGAUAUAUGCUCUAACAAUCUAUAUAAAUGAACAAACUAAAACAAUCUGAGACCAUCUUAAAAAGUAUUUUAAAAUCUACAAUUAAAUAAAGCAAGAAAAACACUCUUUUCAUAUAACAUUGAUCGCUAGUUUCUGCAACUAAUAUUCAUGUAUGAUGGCAACAAAAAUAAACGUUCUUUGAGUAUUUCUGGGGAAAAAUCCACAUAUGACUUCUCAGUUCUAAUUUCAAUUCUGAGACAAAAUGCCAUUUUUUCUGAAGUUCGACAUAUGAGUGUUUAGAAACAUCACCUUUAUGCAUGGACAGAGUAGGACUUAGCAGUCACACUUUAUAAGCUAGAAAUCAAGCCGGUCGUGUAAAGAGCGAUUGGAUUUUUGUCCUAUGGUUCCUCCUCAAAUUAAGAUAAUUGUAUGUCCCCAAAGAUAACGCUGGAUUAAACAAGAGUACUUGUGUACGUGGUCGGCACCUAGCGUAGAUCGAUACAGCUAGCUGCCUAAUCCUAUCGUUCUCUUAAUUGAUCCUCACAUGGGUGCACCGGUGUAAUCAAGGCAAUUUAGUAGUGUUCUCACGCGUCGACAAAGAAGAGAUGCAUCCAUCGACAUAAAAAAUCAACCCAAGAGAGAAUCGAAAACAAUCGACACAAGAAAGGUUCAUGCACUUAUUUUUAUGGAUUGCGAAAUGUGCACUGCCGGUUGAAGAGCUCGACGGCAAAAUAAAUGAAAAUUAAAAUGUAUAGGAAUCUCGUGGCAGACGCCAAGGUUAUAUUUGGAAUUUUUUGUUGAUAUUCCAAAGUUGGGUUUAGUUUAUAAAUUUUGCUCCUCAUCCUCAGCACUUAAGUUUUGUAUGAUGGCAACAAAAAAUAGAAUAUAUGAUUUUCACAUAUAACAUAAGUGUCUCGAGCUUAGUACAAUUUUGUACUAGAGUUAGUAUAAAGUUGAGACAUUUAUUUUGGGACGAAGGGAGUAUAUGUUAUUAGAGUUGUACUUGAAACAACCUAUGUAAGGAGUAGUGAUUUUGUUACAUUACAAAAAGAUAUCUGGCAUGUUGUUACGAAAUGUUUAGCAAUACUUUUACUUUCUUUAGUGACAUUUGGCUAUAUGGAACAUGAAUACUUAGAGUAAUAAUAUAGUAGAUACAACUAAAUGCGGGAGCGAAGGCUUACAUACUUUGUUCGUGUUGUAGUUUUCUUGCUCAUUUGGGACUGAGGAAACCCAUUUCUGAUCUGCUAAGAGCAUCUUCAACGGAUGGUACAAAUGUAAAAGUAACUAACAUUUGGAUCGUCUGAGGUAAAAAACGCAGCUCCAACAGACGGUUCAUAUAUUUAAAAAAUUGGACCGCGGCCUUCUCGUAAUGUAAAAUGCAAUACCUCGCGGUACAAAUUUACAUCACGAGAUGCAUCUGGUCCAAAACCAGCCGCCGCCCGCGAACGCCCAACCGCCACUUCAUUUCCUUUCCCGCCCGCCCGCUCGCAACCUCCCGCCCGUCCGCCGCUGCCCCGCCGCCGCCCCGCCGCACGCCGCCCGCAUCAGAUUUGGCCCCGCCCCGCCCCCGACGCCCGCCCGCCGCGUAUCCGGCCGCGGUCGCAGCGCACGCCGCCGCCCCGUGCGUCGCCGCCCCGUCCGCCCCGCACGGCUCUGUCCGUCACCGCUCCGGCCGCACGCCGCCGCCGCUCUCACUGCUCUCCGAUGGCGCCGAAGAAGACGCUGAAGGACAAGUCGGGCUUCUUCGGUGUGAGGCAGAAGCCCUCCGGUAACUGGGGAGUGGAGCUCUCCGAUGUCGAGAGGCGUUGGUGGAUCGGCACGUACCCCUCCGCCCACGAGGCCGCGCGUGCCUACGACCUGGCGGUGUGGCGUGCCGAGAGGCCUCGGGAGCACCUCAACUUCCCAGAGAUCGAGAGUCGGGUGGAAGCAGAGAUGCUUGUGCCGCAGGGCAUCAAUAUGAAGGAGAUCACGACGAAGAAGAAGACAACGAAGAAACCGUCGGUUGUCGUCAAUGCCGACGAGACCGACGAGGAGGCGAUGGCGAGGUUUGCUCGGGAGCAUCCGGAGUACGUUCAGGCCGAGCUGGAGCACUACUGGAAGCGUGAGGCGGAGCAGAAGAAGAAGGAGGACGAGCCCGGUCCCUCGACGGUGAUCCCCAUCGAGUCCUCUUCCGAGGAGGACUGGACAGACUUCUCAGAGGAGGAGGAGGAGGAGGAGGAGGGGUGCGACGACCCAGAGAAGGAGGAGUUCUGGGAGCAGUUCCGCAGCUCCGACGAUGAGGAGUAGUUUAUCUAGUAGUUUGAAGUAGUAGUUGAAGUUCAUGUAUGAAACUAUGUUGAAUUUGAUGUUUGAACUAUGUUGAAUGGACUAGUAGUUUGUCGUUUUAAGAAAUCUUACAUCUUUAUUUCGGACCAUCUAUUGAAGUUGCUCUUUUGGACCAUCAAUUUGGACCAUCUGUUGGGGACCAUCCGUUGGAGUUGAGCUUUUUUUAAGCUUCAAAACGCACUUUUUGGCGCUCCAAAAUUUAUAUCUUCGGUUUUGGACCGCCAAAUUUUAGACCUUAUAUUGGAGAUGCUCUAACAUUGGUAGCUGCCACAUUCAUCUGUACAUGGCGAGUCAACAUUCGCUACAUUUGUUUCUAAACUCCUCCCUUUAAAUGCAAUGAUAUGCAAUCAGUUGCGUAUUCGUGAAAAAUGAUAAAAUAAAUUCAAAAUACAUAUAAUUUGUUACAUUUGACUAUUUUAUAGUUAAAAAUAUGUUAAAUAUAAACAACAUAAUAUAGUGAAAGUUACCAUGCAUGUUUGUAUAUUGAGGUGGCCUAUUUCCUAUGAAUGCUUAGAUGUUAGGGUGAAUCUUUUUCCAUACAUGUUGCAUGAUGAGAUGUCAUACUCGCAUGUUAAGAGAAAUAUAAUAGUGAAGGAUAGCGAUUUAGAUACAUGCACGAGAUGACAUACUUGCAUGUUAAGAGUAGAAGAGUACUCCCUCUAUACCAUAAUAUUUGUUGUUGGAGAAAACUAGUCUAGUUCUUCCGAACAACAAGUAUUUAGGAACAGAGGUAGUACAUGUUAUUAUUACUCAAAAAAUGAGUGUGGUUCUUUUGGCUCGGAGUUUUAGGGUGUCCUAAUUUUGAAAAAUUUGAAAAUGAGCCUUUUGAGUUUCAACCAGAUUCGAAAAAAUACACACAUCCUAAGAGUGUACUCCCUUCAUGAAAAAAAUAUAAGAGCGUUUAGAUCACUUACAGAGAAAACACUAUAGUACACCUAUGUAAUGAUGAUAAAAUACAUUUUGAUAUGAGCUAAAAAAAACGUAAUGUCCUGAAAAUGAUUUUGUUUUAUUGUGUAGACCAUGAUAUUUUGUGCAGCUCAAAUGUCGACGUAUUUAAUCAUGGAAUUUUACACACUUGUAGAAUAAUCCCUAUGCACAUGUCUAUCUUUUAGAAAUUUCUAAAACCUCAAUUAUUAUUUUCUUGCAUUUUUUAAAAUCCAUGUUCCAUGGCGCCGGGGAGCCAAAAGCAAUCUAAUAAUCUCAAAAGGAAUGAAAAGAUAAAAGAAAGGCAAGAGGCAAUAAAAGCGGGAAGAGGAGAGGAGAAAACCAGGGGAGGGAGGGAGGGAGACAAAUCCCAGAAAAAUCGAGGAGGAAGGCGACGACUCGGGCGGAGCGGUGCGGUGGGAGAGCGCGGCCAUGUGGGAGCCAUGGGCGCGCGCGGCGUGGACGUCGUGCUCGUGACGACACCUGCCGCCUUCCAGGCCCUUCCCCACGCCCGCGCCCAUGACCGCGCCGCCGCAAUGCGCCUCAAAACCCCACCCCGCUCCCCUCCCCGAUCUCUGACCCGGCAGGCUUCUUGAUCCAGGCCCAGGCAUGGCGGAGGCGGCGCCGCCGAAGCUGCUCUACAUUGCUGUCGCCGACGGCGGCGGCCGGCGGGCGUUCCGGUACACGCGCCCCGUCCUGCAGAGCACCCUCCAGCUCAUGGGCUGCAAGGCUCGCCACGCCUUCAAGGUCGCCCCCCUCUCCUCCUUCCUCCCUCCCCUCUCUCGCUGUCCGCGAUCUUGAUCCCGGAAGAUGGAGGACCCGGCCGCCAGCCUCCGAUUUGGUCAUGCUCGCGUUAUACCACGAUUAAGACCGAGGAGGGCGAAAUCGCCUGCUCCUGUUUAGCUUUAGGCACGGUAGGUCCUUCAUGGACAGCAAGUUCACUUCAUACUCACUCUGCACAUGUCUAGCAUAGCGUUCUUGGUGCUUUUUUUCUUUCUUUAAUUGCUUCUUCUUGGUUCAAAACUUCAAAUGAUGUAGUAGUUAGGCAUGCCUAGCAUAGUGUUUGGCGGUAGGACGAUUUUGACAUGGGAAGCUCCGAAGCUGACAACUACUUAUACUGAUUGAUGAGCAACAAUUCACUGCCCUUGGAUUAGGCAGGAAAACGCGAGCACGAAACGGUGUUCGUCGCCGGCCCGGGCCAACAAUUCACUGCCCUUGGAUUAGGCAGGAAAACUCUCAUGCCCUUCUCGCCAUCUUUUGGCCAGGGUCGUUCUUUGCAGCAAAAGGAUUCAGAAACACACCAUUCCUUUCCAAGCUAUCGUUCUUGUUGCAGACUGAAACUGUCGUUUUUUUCAUCAAGGAUCCUGAAAAUUGUCUUUUGGUGAUACUUUGCUUGCGGGUCAUUAUCAUCACAUGCAACUGUUGCCCCUCUGCUACAGCUAGUGUGAAUUGCUAUUCCUUUCUUAGCUUUACUAUGCUCUGAUGAAAGAGACAGCACCAUGUUAUAUGAUGUAGACAUUUAGGCUUUGCCUUGCAUGAUCUUUUUGUUCGGCAACUGUAGUUUGGCGGGCUACCUUUCUAGUCUCUAUAUCUUGGGAUUGACAUGAGCUCUGGUAUUGGAUUCUCACUUGAUGUUAUUUUCUUUACUCUGAUUUGGUCAUGGCUGUCUGGCAUAUCUUGUUUUCCUCAUCCUCCAUUUUGAUUAGCUGUGUAAGCAACAUGCAUCUUGAAGUUGACCUGAGCUUUGGUAUCGGGUUCUCACUUGGCGUAAUUUUCCUUACUCUGAUUUGGUCAUACCAGUUUGUCAUAUUUUUAUUCCUCGCCAUCCAUUUCGAUAAGCUACAAAAGUAAUACACCAUUCGUGCACACAACCGUUUUUUUUAUUGGUGUGUGGAAUUUAACAACAAAAAAAUGUCACCCCUUGUUGACACCGUCAGAUUAGCAAGAAAGUCUUCAGUGUGAUAAGGAAUGAAUUCUUGGAUGCAUCGAGGUCGGAUAGGGCUGUUAAAGAAGAAAAUGCUCGUAGCCACAUUGGGGAAGAUGCUGAUAUGCUUAACACAGAAAUUCCAGACGCAAGUAGCAGCAGCAUGCCCUUCGAAUUGUACAAGACGCAGACAACAAUUCUUAUUUCAAGAGAGAAGUUUCUGAAUAUUGUGUGUGAUGCACUCUCUUCUUACAAGUAUGUUGGACCAAACCAGAAGGCUGACUUGCUUCUUGCUUGCAGGUAACUUUGCCCUAUCUCUAUCUUAUUGAGUUCACAGAAGCAAUCCAACAAGCAUGUUGCUUCAUCUAUAUUUAAUUUACAGCUCCUAGUAGUAGUCGUCUAUUAUCUCCACAACAGAACAGGCUUAUGAUAGAUGUGUGUGCUUAACAUGCUUUGUUAAAGUAAAAUGAUUCCCUUGAAAAAGCCUAAAUUAUUCUUAUGAGCACAGUACAUGCAUUAUGCCCCCAUGAAAUAUGCAUAUAUUUCCCAAGUCAUUUCAUUGCAACCAUAGGGUAGCUACCUCAAUGAACUCAACAUCGUUUAAUUUUUGCAAUUGUGCGUUUUCCAAUUAUUCUGAUCAGAAUUAAGGAGAAAAAGGAAUCAGUGACGGUACUCUUGUGUGGGACAAGCGGAUGUGGCAAAUCCACUCUAUCAUCUUUGUUGGUAUGUUGUUUUCUAACCUAAGAGUCUCGGCCAUUUUUGGAUGGGCUAUACUAUGUAUAGUACACCAGUGACACACUAGUUUGUUACAUGCAGAAGCAUUUAAUAAUAAGUAUCUGCAAAUCAAAUAUCAAUUUAAAGCGCUUUGACUGCUUUCUGUUCCAUUGCGUGUCUUGUUCCUUUUGGAAGAUUGCAUUAUGAAACAGAGAGAUAGUGCUGACUCUUGCUGAAUGCUUAACACGGUCUAUUUGUUUUACCCAGGGUAGUAGAUUGGGCAUUACAACAGUAGUUUCUACUGAUUCCAUACGCCAUAUGAUGAGAAGCUUUGCAGAUGAAAAGCAAAAUCCUCUUCUCUAUGCAUCAACCUACCAUGCAGGCGAACACUUGGACCCUGUUGCAGUUGCUAAGUCAAAGGCAAAGAAGCUCUCAACGGCUUCUCAUACCAAUGAAGGCAAAGAUGGCACUUCAGAUGUUAAAUCUCAGCAUGGCUCCUCAGAUUUACCUCCUAGAGCAGAGUUGGUUGGAAACAAACAAAUGGCAAUAGAAGGGUUCAAGGCGCAAAGCGAGAUGGUCAUUGACAGCCUGGACAGAUUAAUUACAUCAUGGGAAGAGCAGAAGCAAUCUGUUAUUGUUGAAGGAGUUCAUUUGAGCCUCAAUUUUGUGGUAUGCACUAGUCGAGAAACAACAUGAUAUUUUAUUAGUGUUCCUCAUCAUGCAUUAUUUGCCUAUUAUAUUUUGUUGCACUUUGAAGAAUUGGCUAAGCUAUUUAUUUUGUGUAUCUGAUAGAUGGGGCUGAUGAAGAAACACCCUUCCAUAAUACCAUUUAUGGUAUAUAUUGCCAAUGAGGAGAAGCACAUGGAGAGAUUUGCUGUACGUGCAAAGUACAUGACAUUGGACCCGGCAAAGAACAGAUAUAUCAAGUACAUCCGGAAUAUCAGGGCUAUCCAGGAAUACCUUUGCAACCGAGCGGACAAGCAUCUGGUGCCUAAGAUUAACAAUACUAAUGUUGACCAGAGCGUGGCAGCCAUACAUGCCACGGUUUUCAGCUGUCUUCGCCGACGAGAAGUUGGGGAGCAGUUGUACGAUCUCAACACGAACACUGUUUCUGUUGUGGAUGAGGAAUACAGGAACCAGCGUGCCUCUAACUCCUUGGGCUCCAAGGGCAUGUUCCAGUUCAUUCAAAGGAAGGGGUCUUCUAGGAAUCUGAUGGCUCUCCUUAACCCUGAUGGUUCAGUCACCAAGGCUUGGCAUGUAGAUUCGUGUGAUGGCAAUGCCAAUGGCAGUAGAAGCAGUGAUAAAUCAGUAGGAAAGGUUAACCCAUCACAAAUUGGGAAGGUAGAAUCAGUUAAUCUCCAAUUUGGUUCUUUCGGGAUUAGCGCGUGGCUGAGUGAUACAGGUGGCACCAGCCAUACAGGGAGUGUAGAUGACCUGAGGGCUGAUGGCAACGAGGCAGGCGGUAGAUACUACUCCUCAUGCUGCAGCUCACCAAAGACGUCAGAUUGCGCAUCCAAAGAGGUACUACGAUCUUUUUUUAGCAGAUUGCUGAUGUCAUACAUUCCAAUCUAACGAACGCUCUAUAUGCCCUUUCCAGCAUAUGGAGGAUUAUUCAGUCUAUGGUAGUGAAGAAGAAGCUGACGACCCACCUGAUGCUGAAACUGACGAGGAUCUAACUGAUGAAGAAAGAGAUAUUCACGAGGUAGCGACUAUGUUAUCCCAUCACUUUUCCUAGUGGGAUUUAUUUCUAUUGUGGCAGCGAACACUUGAUUGCAGUUGCUUCCUGGAUUCCUGCAAAUAUAUUGUGCUAGAUAUUAACUAGGAAUGCCAGUUGAUGCCGUGCCUCAUUUCAAAGCUUGUGCGUCAGUUAUCCGAGCUUUCUAGAUUGCUAACGUUUUCUGCACAAACCAAUGUCUUCAGAUUGAAGCGGGCUCGGUCGACGAACAUUCCACCAAGUCCGACGAGGAAUACAACGACCUAGCCAUGCAGGACAUGAUGGGGAACGGUAACUGCUCUGACGAUGACGACGAGCAAGCUGCGGGGUUCGGCAACAGGAGCUCGCCGUCCCUGGAUGAGAGCAUCCUUGGAGCAGCUGACGGCGAUGAUGCCGCGAGGUACCACCACAACCUGGACCUCUUCACGAUAUCCAAGGACAUAGCUGCCAGACAGAUGCCGUGCGCCUGACACUGCCGCCCCAACCAACCGAUGGGAAGAAAAUCCAUGAAUCAGACACCAUCGCCACGAUUCGCUGCGCCAUUGUGCUCUCCUGUGCCGCUUCCAGUUGGGAGUCUGCACCGUCGGCUGUACUCAUAUAUGUUGGUGGUUAUGACUGUUAGACACACUGAUGCUUGUCCAAGCUUACACAUAUAGGAAUCUGGGGCUUAGCCCGUGAAACUCAAAUAAUGGAAGGUUGAAAUUGUAUCUAUAAUUGCGCAAGAAUCUCUUGGCACAAUACAAUAACUUGCUGUUUUUCAUCCAACAUACUGAUGAAAUUGAGAACAGAAGUAUAAAGUUGCAUCAGAAAAAUGAACUAGAUCAAAUUAGGAUCGGAGAGUAAUCCUGAUUAAGGGGACACAUGUGUAGCGACUUCAGAUUUGUACUUUCUACUCCGGCUUCGGCCUCUCCUUAUUUAAUAUACAAGGCAAAUCUUUUGCCCGGUUUCAAAUAAAAAUUAGCAACGUAGAUAGAUCAAAUAAUUCACCAUCACCAGAAAAGAAGAAAAACUAAAAUAAAGAGUAACAUAUGGCAAAACGCAAGAAAAAUGUUGGUGCUCCAGAGCUGCAUACAGGCAUUUCAUAGACGUACAUUUGAUUUCUGCGAAAGGUUAAACCUUUACAGAGGUCGAAGCAUCUGAUUUCUCCAGAUCAACAGCAAAAUAGAAAUCUUUACAGAGAUGGAAACCUUAUACACUGAUAAAACCCAAGGCAAAAUGAUCUACAGUUGUCCUUGCUUCCCAUCAUCUCUAAACCUAAAUAGUUCAGCUAAAUUGCUUCUAUGAUUUCCCUUUUUUAUAUAUAAUGUUUAUUACAACGAAACCGUAAAAACAUACAUUCUCUCUAGAACAAGCAAAAUCAGACUUGUUAUAGACUCUGCUAAAUUCAUGUCUUUUACCUACAAUGGGAGUGUGCAACUACAGCUAUUAAGAAUAAUUAUUAUAAGAACAGUAACAAGAAUACUAAUCAGACUUGCAAUAGACAGUGUUUAGCUGUGGAUCUGACACUGCUGGACGACAAGUGCAGAAGAGCUACAGUUGGAACAAUACUUCACAUCAAAGAUGAUCAGCCAAGGUUACUAUCAGGUAUAGGCAUAGGUCCGAGGUAACCAAUAAUAGGAAAGUUCAGCUACAGCUUUAUUAAGGGCAAUCGUGAAAGGGGUGUCAAGUAUUGGUCGUGAAGAAGACAACUUUAAUCAGAUUUAUGAACUGUCCUAAACUUGUAAGAAUCUUAUGUUCGGAAGAUAAUCACCCGAACACUAAUAUAUACUCCCUCCGUCCCAAAAUAACUGUCUUAAGCUUAGUGCAAUUUUGUAUUAGAGCUAGUAUAAAGUCAAGACAGUUAUUUUGAGACGGAGGGAGUACUUACCACACCACAAUAUCGCCAAGGAGAUAUCCUUACUCAUGACUAUUAGUAUCAUGAGACAUAACAGUUAAAGAUGCAUUAGUACGACAGUGUUACGCAAAAUCGUACAAAAGAAACACUACCAGAUUUCCAGUAUCUUGUAACGCAGAGAAGGCAAAACAAAUAACUCAUCUUGGCCAUAUAGAUAGUACGCAUAUGACAAACCAUAUGUAUAUUCUGCAAAACAAAGCAAACGAAAGCUGCUGGUAAUACAUGGGAUUUCAGGAGAACAAACCAGCUCAUUCUACAAAGAAUAAGCAAUGUGCAGCUCAAUAUGAGCAGCAUUACUCUUCGACUUCCUUCUUUAUUUCUGCCAUUAGUUCAUCCUUGUAGUCCUCAAACGAUCCAUCAUAUUUAGUCACCGUGCCAUCCUCCACAACCCAUAUCUGGCUCUUCUGCUCAUCGUCACAAACUCGAGAUAUCAACCGCGAGUCAUGGCUAACCAAGACCACACCUCCAGUGAAUUCAUCCAGAGCGUCUGCCAAAGCAUCAAUACUUUGCAUAUCCAAGUGAUUUGUAGGCUCAUCCAGUAGGAGAAUGUGAGGAUUCGACAUUGAUAUCGAAGUGAACACAACACGGGCCUUCUGACCGCCAGAUAAUUUAACAAUGGGAGUAAGAUGGUUGUGACCUGGCAAGCCAAAUUUUCCAAGCUUGCCACGGACAGCCUCCGCUUUGCUCAUUCCCCCCUGGUCUGGGUGAAGCCUGAGCAAAUACUGAACUGCAUUUUCCUCCAUCGUCAACAAGUCAACAAAAUGCUGCGAGUACCGUCCAAUCCUCAGCUUCUGGCUCCUUCUUGCCUCUCCUUCUGAUGGGGUAAGAUCACCAGCAAGUAAAUUUAGAAUAGUAGACUUUCCUGCCCCAUUGGGCCCAACAAUGGCAACACGUGUUCCCAUGUCAAUGCCAACAUCAACAUCUGAUAACUUGAAGUCCGGACGGUUGGGGUAGCCGAAACCCACCUCGAUGAGCUGAAGGAGUGGUGGUGUAAGCAAAGUGGGUUCUGGGAAGUGGAACUCGACUUUGUAGUCAUGCCACUUUUGGGGCAGAUCCGCUGGCUUCACGUUAUCAUCAUCAUUUGCCACAUUCUUUCCCUUCCCCUUCCCCUUGGCAACUUCUUUAUGGGCCUUUGACAUUGCUUGGUCUUUAACCUUAUCUUGUGCAGCCUUGCUCCCAGUCUUCCUUGCUGCUUUCAUCUGCUUUUCAUACACCUCAAACUUCCUGUUCAUCUCCUUCCUCUUCUGCUCGUACCCGCUCUCGAAGUCAUCAAAAUUGCCACGGUAGACAUGCAGACUCUUAUCGUGCAAAUGAAUGAUAUCAUUGCACACUGUGUUCAAGAAGUCCCGGUCAUGGGAAACCACAAUUAGGGUCUUCUUCCACUGCGAGCACAAGUACUGCUCCAACCAAAGCACAGCUCGGAGGUCCAAAUGGUUGGUAGGCUCAUCAAGGAGCAGCAACGUUGGCUGCAUGAAGAGAGCACGGGCAAGCGAGAUGCGCAUCCUCCAACCACCACUGAAGGACUUUGUGGACCUUGCCUGCAUCGCCUGAUCAAAACCCAGCCCCGCGAGGAUUUUGGACGCACGUGCUCGUGCAGCAUCAGAGUCGCAUAGAUUUAGCUUCUCGUAUACCUCAGCAAGCUUGUCGUUGUCAUCGGGGUCGUUAGAGGCCUCAAGCUUUGCCUGCUCAGCUCGGAGCGCGGUGAGCUCCUCAUUGGCUGCAACCACCGCCUCGGUUGCCGAGCGGUCAUCACCAACAAUCUCCUGCUCCACAAGCAGGACAUCAAUGUUCUUGGGCACGGGCACCUGCCGCCACGAGAGCAGCUUCAGGAGGGUAGAUUUGCCCAUGCCAUUGGGCCCCACGAGACCGUAGCGGCGACCAUGCGAGAUCCGGAGGGAGGCGCCCUUGAGCAGCUCCUUUCCCCUCGCAGAGACAGAGAAGUUGUCGAGCACGAUGUCCUUGAUGUUCCCAUCGAUGGCGGCAUCGCCCUCGGCGGAUCCGGGGACGCGCGCUCCUAUGACGACGGAGAAGGCGUCGCGGUCGUCGCGGAGCGCCUCCCGCUUGGCAGCCUCAGCGACGGCCGCCGCCAUCAUCUCGCGCUUCUCCUUCUUCUUCGAGUCCUUGUCCGAGGGCGCGAGGGCGUUGAGGUCGACGGUGGCGCGAGCUGGCUUGGGCUUGGCAGCGACGGCGGCGACGUCGGCCUCGUCCUCCUCGUCGUCCGACGGGGGCAGGUCGAUGCCGCCCAUGUACGACGACGCGGGCGCCUUGGAGGGCUUGGCUUUGGGAGCCGCCUUGGCGGGCUUGGAUUUGGGCCCCGUGCCGUCCAUCGAAGCUAGCAUGGCCGACACGGAGAGAGGUUUUUCCUUCUUGCCGGCGGCCCCCGCGGCUGAGGAGGACGAGGAGGCGUUUUUGCGACUCAUGGCGGCGGAGGAGGAGGAGAAGAACGGCGAGGUUGGGGAAUCUGGGUUUGGCUGUGGUCCGGCGAGGUCAAGCUCGAGAGGAUAUGGAGGUGCCGGGGUGGCGGCUGGGGUCCGGGUGGGUUGGCGGCGUGACGGACCGGGAGGCGGCGGCGGCGGCGGCGGCGCGCUAGGGUUAGGGUUAGAGCUCCGCGCGGGCGGGGUGUGAGGACAGGAGACCGCACGGGUCGGUGAGAGCUAAGUCAUUGUCAUGUCAUUUAUGACCCUUUUUGAAACCAUAAUACAUUAUAAUAAUCUGAAUUAUGAACAUACAUUAUAUAAUCUGGUUUUAAAAAUAAUCCAGAUGAGUAUGUUUGGAGACCAGAUUAUAUAAAUUGUAAACUAGCUUUUAAAUUUUACAAUGACAUAUUUGCCCUCAGUUACAAGGAAAAAUAUGAAAUUGGCGGUGGCACUGCGUAAUUCUUUUGAAGUUUACAAGGAUAACACGUCAUUUGUAAUUCAUAAUCUCAUUUUAGUUGGGGUAGAGGAGAUUAUGAGAUUAUAAUAAUCUGGUCAUCUAGUUUAUAAAAUAUAUAGUAUAAAUUGUCCUGUUUGAAAAUACAAUAGAUUAUAAAAACCAGAUUAUAUAAUCUGGUUGGUUCCAAACAGGGCCUAUAGCAUAUCUAUAAGAGCAAGUACAAUAGUAGAGCCGGCUAUCGGCUGUAAGCUCAUGUCAUGUCACCUAUAAUCCAUCUUAUAGCUAACAUGUACAAUAGUUGGUUAUAAGAGUAUACUAUUUAUUUAUUAUAUGACCCACCUUUCAUUCUCACAAAGUGCCUAGGAGCACGUGCUAGAGCUCGCUCUUAACUAAGAGUCCGCUUACCUUCUCUCUCCUCCAACUAAGCAAAAAUAUACUACUUUAUUCCUUAUAGCCAGCUCACUCAGCUCUAUUGUACUUGCUCUAACCAAUAUGUAUAAUAGUUUAUUGUAAAAGUGUACUACUUUUUUAUUAUAUGGUCCACCUUUCGUACUCACAAAAGGCCUAGGAACACGUGAUAGAGUUGGCUCUUAGCUAAGAGCCCGCUUACUUUCUCUCUCUUCUUCUCUUUCCUCUAACUAAACAAAAAUGUAUUAGUUUAUUCCUUAUAGCCAGCUGACUCAGCUCUAUUGUACUUGCUCUCAGGACGACAUUUUUUCCUUUUUUUUGAAAGUCUAAAUAUGGCUCCUAAGGGCCUCUUCCGAGCAUACCUGGCCAAAUGGACUGGCCCGGCACGGCACAGCAUGGCCGUGCUAAACGUGCCUGGUCCGGCACGGCCCGUCGAGGCACGUUUAGUAAUCGGGCCAUCCCGUACCAGCCUGUGGGCUGCGCCUCCAGGCCCAGGCACAACCGGUUACUAAAUGGAUCGGCCUGUUGGCCCGAUUAGCACGCUAGGCUGCAUAAUUUUAACCUCAUGGGCUUAUUUUAGGCCUAUUGGGUCAUAUAUUAUGUGUGUGUGUGUGUGUGUGUAUGUAUAUAUAUAUAUAUAUAUAUAUAUAUUAAAAAUAUGUAAAAAAUAACGAACCGUGUCGUGCCGGCCCGCGUGCCCAGCCUCGAGGCUCAGGCACGGCCCGAGGCGUGCCGCGUGCCUGGCACGACCCGUUUAAGUCGUGUCGGGCCGGGGCCGGGCCCGUGUUGGGCCUGGCCUGCGGGUUGUCGGGCCGGCCCGACUAGCACGGCCCGUUUGGCGAGGUAUGCUUCGGAGUUCGGAUCGUGCGAAAAAAACGAAACUUGUCGUGGAGACGACGCUUCCUUGCCAAUAUGCAUCAUCAUAUUAUACUAUGACGCGUUUGGUUGUUCGUGUGAGGCCUCAUCAGGUUUAUGAGGAAAGAAUUUACACAGUUGACGUGGAUACAUUGUUUGAUCUACUCGACAUGAACUUCAUAACACUUUUAAUCAGCCUUGCGAGGUACUUUCAGAUCGACAGUUUUUACAGAGCCAGGCUCGUGCGAGACAUGGGAGGGAAACGCGGCACUGAGCUCCUGUGUGACCAGGGAGAUGACGUGAGCUCGCACGCGUCUUUGACAAAUCGAUGAGAGGAUUUACGCUCACCUCCCGCCGAUUUGAUCACCCUAUUUAGCCCCAUCCUCUCACCGUCCAAAGUCUCGCCACCCUUCUCCCCCCUUUAGAGCUUUUCCGCCAACGCGCAUCAUUGCCCUCUACCUUUUAUUGAUCUAAUGAUAGAAAGAUUAUCCAAACAUACACAUUUUUGCUUUCUAGACGGUUAUUCUGGUUUCUCUCAAAUACAUGUCUCAAAAGAGGAUCAAGAAAAGACCACUUUUACUUGCCCUUUCGGUACCUUUGCUUAUAGACGUAUGCCUUUUGGUUUAUGCAAUGCACCUACUACCUUUCAAAGAUGUAUUAUGGCUAUAUUCUCUGAUUUUUGUGAAAAGAUUGUGGAGGUUUUCAUGGAUGAUUUUUUUCCGUUUACGGAACUUCUUUUGAUGAUUGCUUGAGCAACCUUGAUCAAGUUUUGCACACAUGUGAAGAAACUAAUCUUGUCUUGAAUUGAAAGAGGUGAGACUUUAUGGUUAAUGAAGGCAUUGUCUUGGGACACAAAAUCUUCGAAAGAGGUAUUGAAGUUGAUAAAGCUAAAGUUGAUGUUAUUGAAAAAAUGUCGUGUCCAACAAAUAUCAAAGGUAUAAGAAGUUUCCUUGGUCCUGUUGGUUUCUAUAUGAGGUUUAUUAAAGACUUCUCUAAGAUUUCAAAGCCUCUCACUAAUAUUUUGCAAAAGAAUGUUUCAUUCAUUUUUUAUGAUGAUUGUGUAGAAGCAUUUGAAAUUCUUAAGAGAGCCUUGAUCACUGCACGUGUUGUUCAACCACCUGACUGGAACCUACCAUUUGAAAUUAUGUGUGAUACUAGUGAUUAUGUUGUUGGUGUUGUUCUAGGACAAAGAGUUGAUAAGAAAUUAAAUGUUAUCCAUUAUGCUAGUAAAACUCUAGACAUUGCUCAAAGCAACUACGCUACCACUGAAAAGGAAUUUUUAGCAGUUGUGUUCGUUUGUGAUAAGUUUAGACCUUAUAUUGUUGGUUCCAAAGUGAAUGUUCACAUUGAUCACGCUCCUAUUAAAUAUCUUAUGAAAAAGAAAGAUGUUAAACCUAGACUUAUUAGAUGGGUUCUCCUGCUACAAGAAUUUGAUUUGCAUAUUAUUGAUAGAAAGGGUGCUGAUAACCCCGUAGCAGAUAACUUCUCUAGAUUAGAGAAUGUUCUUGAUGACCCACUAGCUAUUGAUGAUAGCUUUCCUGAUGAACAAUUAGUUGUCAUAAACGCUUCACGCAGUACUCCUUGGUAUGCUGAUUAUGCUAAUUACAUUGUUGCUAAAUUUAUACCGCCUAGUUUCGCAUACGAACAAAAGAAAAAGUUCUUCUAUGAUUUAAGACAUUACCUUUGGGAUGAUACACACCUUCAUAAAAAAGGAGUAGAUGGUAUUAUUAGACGUUGUGUACCUGAGCAUGAAGAGUGACAGAUCCUACACAAGUGUCACUCCGAGGCCUAUGGAGGACAUCAUGCUGGAGAUAGAACUGCACACAAGGUAUUACAAUCUGGUUUUUAUUGGCCUACUCUCUUCAAAGAUGCUCGUAAGUUUGUCUUGUCUUGUGAUGAAUGUCAAAGAAUUGGUAAUAUUAGCAGACGCCAGGAAAUUCAUAUGAAUUACUCUCUUGUCAUUGAACCAUUUGAUGUUUGGGGUUUUGAUUAUAUGAGACCUUUUCCAAAGUUCAAUGGGUAUACUCAUAUUCUAGUUGCUGUUGAUUAUGUUACUAAGUGGGUAGAAGUUAUUCCAACUAGUAAUGCCGAUCAUAACACUUCUAUUAAAAUGUUGAACGAAGUCAUUUUCCCUAGAUUUGGAGUCCCUAGAUAUUUAAUGACUGAUGGUGGUUCACAUUUUAUUCAUGGUGCUUUCUGUAAAUUGCUUGCUAGGUACGAUGUUAAUCGUAGAAUUGCAUCUCCUUAUCAUCCUCGGUCUAGUGGUCAAGUAGAACUGAGCAAUAGAGAAAUUAAAUUGAUCUUGCAAAAGACCGUUAAUAGAUCUAGAAAGAAUUGGUCUAAGAAACUUGACGAUGCAUUAUGGGCGUAUAGAACCGCUUACAAAAACCCUAUGGGUAUGUCUCCGUAUAAAUGGUUUAUGGUAAAGCAUGUCAUUUACCUCUAGAGCUAGAACAUAAAGCUUUUUGGGCAAUUAAAGAGCUUAACUAUGAUUUCAAACUUGCUGGUGAAAAGAGGUUAUUUGACAUUAGCUUGCUUGAUGAAUGGAGAACCCAGGUCUAUGAGAAUGCCCGGUUGUUUAAAGAAAAGGUUAAGAGAUGGCAUGAUAGAAGGAUACAAAAGCGUGAAUGCAAUGUAGGUGAUCAUGUCCUGCUGUACAACUCUCGUUUAAGAUUUUUUGCAGGAAAACUUCUCUCUAAAUGGGAAGGGCCUUACAUUAUCGAGGAAGUAUAUCAUUCCGGUGCCAUCAAGAUCAACAACGCCGAAAGCACAAAUUUGAAGGUGGUAAAUGGGCAAAGAAUCAAACAUUAUAUCUCACGUACUCCCAUAAUUGUUGAAACCAAUAUUAUCAAUACCAUAACUCUGGAGGAGUACAUUAGGGAGACCUAUUAGAACGUUUCAGACUUCGAAAAGGAAUAAAUAUGUGUUACGGUAAGCAAACCGACUCCAAAACUUUUCCAAUGGCAAUUUUUAUCAGUUUUGGAAUAUUUAAAAAAUUAAGAAAAUUUAAAGCAGUCCGAAAAGUGCACGACGAGGCGACAAGCCAGGGGCGCGGCCUAACCCCCCCCCCCCCCCGUCCGCGCCCUGCAGGCUUGUGGCCACCCCGUGUACUCUCCGGACUCCGUUUUCUUGUGGAAUACUCUUCCAGGUCGGUAAAAAUUCAUUAUAUAAUAUCUCGAAGGUUUUGACCUUCGUAUCACGACAAUAUCUCCUGUUUUCGUUUUGAGCUGUUUCUGCAGCAGAUUUAGAGUAAGAUGUCGUCCCAGGAUUCCGAUGAGGAGAGCUAUGUAUCGCAUUAUCUUGCCAAUCCCAAGCUCUAUGGGGACUUAGAUCCUUAUGGGUUGUUCUCGGAGGAGGAACUAGAGAUAUGCAAGUAUGCGGAAGAAAGCUCAGACGAAGAGGAGAUUCCCCUGCCUCGACCCAAAGAUAUGCAUGUGGAGUUCAAGAAGUCGAGCCUCCCAAAUACAAGGAGAAAACCCAAGGUUCUAUUUAUCCCUUUACGUCUUGUGCAGGAGAGCAAGGAUGAAUUACGGCAAAAGAUAUUGAGGCUUGAGCAGGAAGUAGACGAUAUGAGGGAACAUAAUUUCAGGCUUAAGAGGAAACUUGAUAAGCUCUCAACCUCACCAACAACUCCAACAUCACCACCCCCGAAGAAAGACAACUAAACACAUGGGUGUGGGCACUGCCCUUGACUUGUGCCAAGCUUGGGGGAGGUUCCCCUGUAUCGUAUCACCAUCACAUCUUUUACCGUUUUUCGUUUUUCUUUGUUCGAUCCUUUUGGUAAUAUCUUGAUCUAGUAGAAUAAAGUUUUAGUGUGAUCUAGUUUUGAGUUUUGCUUUAUGUUUCCCCUAUGUAAGCAAGUCUGAGAGUUAUAUAAUAGAUAGUAGUUUUGAGUUGAGGGCUUUGCUUGCUUGCUAUGAUCUUGAGAAAUAGAAAUAGAAAGAAGUAUAGGAUAAAAGCAAAAGAGUAUAUAUAAUGAUCUUAUGGGGAGUGAUGACUUCACAUAUAAAAAGUAUGUCGAUUGAAAUUUGUUAUGAGUUGAUAAACAAAGCUAUUGAUCAUUGUUGCAAUUAAAAGGAAGUAAUAAAGAAAGAGAGGUUCACAUAUAAAUAUAUUAUCUUAGACAUCUUUUGUGAUUGUGAGCACUCAUUAAAAUACUAUAUGUUAAGAAGCUGAUAUUGGACAAGGAAGACAACAUAAUGAGUUGUGUUUGCUUGUUUACGAAUAGAAGUUAUAUGGUUAUAGAUCGUUCAACAUGUGUCGCUUGCUUCCUCCCCAUAUUAGGAAAAAACUUCCGCACCAAGUAGAGAUACUACUUGUGCAUCCAAACACCUUUAACCCAGUUUUGCCUUGAGAGUCCACCAUACCUACCUAUGGAUUGAGUAAGAUCCUUCAAGUAAGUUGUCAUCGGUGCAAGCAAUAAAAAUUGCUCUUUAAAUGUGUGUGGUUUAUUAGUGUGAGGAAAAUAAACUUUAUGCGAACUUGUGAUAUAGAAGAAAUAAAACCGACGAACUACAUAAUAAAGUUCUUUAUCACAAGGGACAAUAUAAAGUGACGUUCUAUUGCAUUAAGGGAUUGCACAUCCAACUAUAAAAGCGCAUGACAACCUCUGCUUCCCUCUGCGAACGGCCUAUCUGUUACCUUUACUUUCUAGUACUUACCUUUAUGUAAGAGUCGUGGUGAUCUUCACCAUUUCCCAUAUUUUGCCUUUAUAUUUUGGCAAGCAUCGUGUGUUCGGGAAUGAUCUACACAAAUAUAUCCACUCAGAUGUGGGUGAUCAUGAGUUAUUAUUGUUGACAUUACCCUUGAGGUAAAUAGUUGGGAGGCAAAACUAUGAGCCCCUAUCUUUCUCUGUGUCCGAUUGAAGCUUUGACCUCAUAGGUACCGCGUGAGUGUUAACAAUUAUGAAAGACCAUAAGAUGAUUGAGUAUGUGGAUUUGCUUUAAAAUCUCUUGUAUUGACUCUUUCCUACGUUGCGAUAAAUUGGAAUUGCUUCAAUGAGUGAAAUCAUAGUGUGUUAGUUCUUAGUAGAGUUCUUGAUUCAUAUUUUACCAUGUGAAUGAAUUGUUACUCUAGAAUAAGAACUUAUAUGUCAAUAUUGUGUUGCUUCUCUGAAGAUAACCAUAAUGCCUUCAUGUCCAUAUUUUAUUUUUAUCGACACCUCUAUCUCUAAACAUGUGGGCAUAUUUAUCGAUCUCGGUUUUCGCUUGAGGACAAGCGAGGUCUAAGCUUGGAGGAGUUGAUACGUACAUUUUGCAUCAUGCUUUUAUGUCAAUAUUUAUUGCAUUAUGGGAUUUUAUUACAUAUUAUGGUAAAAUACAUAUGCCUUUUAUCUCUUAUUUUACAAGGUUUACAUAAAGUGGGAGAAUGCCGGCAGCUGGAAUUCUGGACUAGAAAAGGAGAAAAUAUGAGAGACCUAUUAUGCACAACUCCAAAAGUCCUGAAGAGUUAUGGAGAAUUGUUUUGGAAUAUAUAAAAAAACUAUUGGGUGAAGGAAAUACCACAGGAGACCCACCAGGAGGUCACAAGCCAGGGGGCGUGGCCUACCCCCCUGGUCGUGCCUUGUAGGCUUGUGGGCCCCCUAACAGGCCACCGGUGCCCAUCUUCUGCUAUAUGAAGGGUUUUGACCUGGAAAAAAUCAUGUCAGAGCAUUCGGGAUGAAGCGCCGCUGUCUCUAGGCGAAACUUUGGUAGAACCAAUCUAGAGCUCCGACGGAGCUAUUCUGUCGGGGAAACUUCCCUCUCACAUGGGGAAAUUGAAGCCAUCGUCGUCACCAACGAUCCUCUCAUCGAGAGGGGUUCAAUCUCCAUCAACAUCUCCAUCAGCACCAUCUCCUCUCCAAACCCUAGUUUAUCUCUUGUAUCCGAUCUUUGUCUCAAACCUGAGAUUGGUACCUAGGGGUUGCUAGUAGUGUUGAUUACUCCUUGUAGUUGAUGCUACUUGGUUUACUUUGUGGAAAAUCAUAUGUUCAGAUCCUUAAUGAUUAUUAAACUCCUCUAAUUAUAAACAUGAAUAUGCUUUGUGAGUAAUUAUGUUUGUUCCUGAGGACAUGGGAUAAUUUUGGCUAUAAGUAAUCAUGUGAAUUUGGUUUUCGUUUGAUAUUUUGAUGAGAUGUGUGUUGUCUCUCCUUUAGUGGUGUAAUGUGAACGUCGACUACAUGACACUUCACCAUUAUUUGGGCCUAGGGGAAUGCAUUGGGAAGUAAUAAGUAGAUAAUGGGUUGCUAGAGUGACAGAAUCGUAAACCCUAGUUUAUGCGUUGCUUCAUAAGGGGCUAAUUUGGAUCCAUAUGUUCCAUGCUAUGGGUUAGAUUUAUCUUAAUUCUUGUUUCGUAAUUGCGGAUGCUUGCGAGAGAGGUUAAUCAUAAUUCGGAUGUUUGUCCAAGUAAGGGCAGCACCCAAGCACCGGUCCACCCACAUAUCAAAUUAUCAAAGUAACGAACGCAAAUCAUAUGAGCAUGAUGAAAACUAGCUUGACAGAAAUUCCCAUGUGUGCUCGAGAGCGCUUUUCUUUAUAUAAGAGUUUGUCCAGGCUUGUCCUUUGCUACAAAAAGGAUUGGGAAACCUUGCUGCACCUUUGUUACAGUUGUUAUUUGCUAUCCGUUACAAAUUACCUUAUCACAAAACUAUGUGUUACCGAUAAUUUCAGUGCUUGCAGAGAAUACUUUAGUGAAACCCGCUUGUCAUUUCCUUAUGCUCCUCGUUGGGUUCGACACUCUUACUUAUCGAAAGGACUAUGAUAGAUCCCCUAUACUUGUGGGUCAUAAGCAACCCAAUACAUUUGUUGGCAUGUAUUUGUCAUUCCACUCAAUAUCCCCCCGGACAGAUUAUGCAAAGAAAGAACAAGUAAUGUCAUCUGCACUUAAACCAAACCAUAAGUUCCUUGCGUCAUACCCAAACUAUGGCCACUUUAUCUCAAUUUUUCUCCACUGCGACCCAUCAACGGGUACUCUCAACAUCUCGUCUUUCUUUUGUGCCAUUGCGACAACUUGGCAUGCUCUUUGUUUCUGAAUAGAGGUUUCAACCAUGGUAUUAUAGGAGCAUACCACAUCACCUUGGCAGGAACCCUCUUCCUGGGGCGCUAACCCUCAACAUCACGAGGCUCGUCUCAUGUGAUCUUAUGCGCAAUGCACCACAUACCAGGCAUGCAUUCAAAUUCUCAUACUCCUCAUCGCGAUAAAGGAUGCAGUCAUUAGGGCAUGCAUGUAUCUUCUGCACCUCUAAUCCUAGAGGACGGAGAACCUUCUUUGCUUCGUACAUACUGUCAGGCAAUUCGUUAUCCUUUGUAAGCUUCUUCUUCAUUAUUUUUAGUAAAUUCUGAAAUCCCUUGUCAGAUACACCAUUCCAUGCCUUCCAUUGCAACAAUUCUAGUGUGAUACCGAGCUUUGUGUUGCCAUUUUCGCAAUUUGGGUACAACCUUUUUUUGUCAUCCUCUAACAUGCGAUCGAACUUUAACUUCUCACUUUCACUUUCGCAUUCUUUGUGUGCAUCAACAAUGACCCGACGAAGAACAUCAUCAACGGGCACAUCCGGUGCCUCUUGAUCUUCAACUUCCUCCCUUGCAGUAUGACCUUAUUCGGGUAACAUAGGAUCCCGAUAGUUGUCAUCAUCCUCUUCUUCUUCAUUGUGUUCCAGCAUAACCCCUCUUUCUCCGUGCUUGGUCCAACAAUUAUAGUGGGGCAUGAAACCCUUCUCAAGCAGGUGAAAGUGAAGGUUUUUUGAGGAAGAGUAGUCCUUCAUAUUCUCACACACAACACAUGACAAUACAUAAAACCAUUUUGCUUGUUUGCCUCAUCCACAUCGAGAAAAUUAUGUAGGCCUGUAAUGUAAUCGGAAGUGCGUCGGUCACCAUACAUCCAUUGCCGGUUCAUCUGCAUUAUGUAAUUAAGUAUAUCAAAAACCAUUACAGAAUAUCAUGAAUAGAGAAAUGACCAAAUUAAUAAAAUUUCAUCAUCACAUUAAAACCAAAGUAUAAUAGUGAUCAGAUGUUAUUACUACAAAAAUAAAUACAUAAAGUUCAUACAUAGUUCUCAUAAAACAACAUACAACUAUGUAAAACAUUUAAAUGCAACAACAAAUGCAAUCAAAAUUGCAACUAAGGUAACAAUUGAUCCAACAACAUAAUGAUAUCAAGCUUCUUUAUGAGUGUCAUAUUUUCUAAUCUUUCUAAUCUUCAAGCACAUUGCAUCCGUUUGGAUCUUAUGUAGAUCGACGACGUCGGCAAUAUGCAACUCCAAUUUCAUCUUCUCUUCUUCAAUUCUUUUCAAUUUUUCUUUAAAAUAAUUGUUUUCUUUUUCAACUAAAUUUAACCUCUCGAAAAGAGGGUCGGUUGGAAUUUACUGUUCACAUACCUCCUAGAUAAAGACAUCUAUGUCAAGUUGGUCAGCAUAAUUGUCAUAAACACUAAAUGAAACAAAUACUUAUAAAAUAUAAUAUACCACAUCCGAAUCAUAGACCGGACGAGAGCCGACGGGGGCGUAUUCCAAAACCAUGGCACUAUAUAAUAACAAACAAUAAUACAAGUAGCUAUCUAAAUCAUACAAGUAAGAAAUUUUUUUCUUUUAGAAAGAUAGGAACAAGAGGCUCACCACAGUGGUGCGGGCGACAAAAUCGGCGCGGACAAUCGACGACGGUGAGGACGGAGACGGGGAUGGGACGACACCCUACACAUGUGCAAACUAAAAAAUCAAUUUGAGCUUAAAUUUUGCAUCUAAAUCAAAUAAACUCCCACAGAAACUCCUCCACGAAAACCCACAAACCACUCUACUUCUAGAGCAUAUGAAAUGAGCUAAACUAGCAAUGAGAGAUGAAAGGAUGAAGUUGCUAACCUUCUAGAACACUUGGAUAGUUGGUGCACCGCCAAAUCUAGAAAAAUAUUGGGGAAAUGGAGCUUGGACGUUGAGCUCAGAGGAAGAACGGAGGAGAAAUCUUAAGUGUGUCUCGGACAUUUCAUCGAACACCUCAUGUGCAUAAAAAGGCAGAACAUAGCAGCACACACACCUCCCUGAUGGGGAACGUCGCAUGGGAAACAAAAAAUUCCUAUGCGCACGAAGACCUAUCAUGGUGAUGUCCAUCUACGAGAGGGGAUUUCCGAUCUACGUACCCUUGUAGAUCGCACAGCAGAAGCGUUAGUGAACGUGGUUGAUGUAGUGGAACGUCCUCACGUCCCUCGAUCCGCCCCGUGAACCGUCCCACGAACCGUCUCGCGAUCCGUCCCACGAUCUAGUGCCGAACGGACGGCACCUCCGCGUUCAGCACACGUACAGCUCGACGAUGAUCUCGGCCUUCUUGAUCCAGCAAGAGAGACAGAGAGGUAGAUGAGUUCUCCGGCAGCGUGACGGCGCUCCGGAGGUUGGUGAUGAUCUAAUCUCGGCAGGGCUCCGCCCGAGCUCCGCAGAAACGCGAUCUAGAGGUAAAACCGUGGAGGUAUGUGGUCGGGCUGCCUUGAAAAAGUUGUCUCAAAUCAGCCCUAAUUGCUCCAUAUAUAUAGGAGGAGGGAGGGGAGGCUUGCCUUGAGGCUCAAGGAGCCCCAAGGGCUGCGCCACCAAGGGGAGGAGGAGUCCUCCUCCAAUCCGAGUCCAACUAGGAUUGGAAGGUGGAGUCCUUCUCUCUUUUCCCACCUUUCCUUUUUUUCCUUUCUCUUCUUUUGGUUUUUUCUUUCUCUUGCGCAAGACAGCCUUGGGCUGACCCCACCUACUUGGUGCACCAACCCCAAGGUCCUUGGGCCCUCCCGGGUGGGUGGUCCCCCCUCCCGGUGAAGAUCCGGAACCCAUUCGUCAUUCCCGGUACAUUACCGGUAAUGCGUGAAAACCUUCCGGUAACCAAAUGAAGUCAUCCUAUAUAUCAAUCUUCGUUUCCAGACCAUUCCGGAAACCCUCGUGACGUCCAUGAUCUCAUCCCGGACUCCGAACAACAUCCGGUAACCAACCAUAUAACUCAAAUACGCAUAAAACAACGUCGAACCUUAAGUGUGCAGACCCUGCGGGUUCGAGAACUAUGUAGACAUGACCCGAGUGACUCAUCGGUCAAUAUCCAAUAGCGGGACCUGGAUGCCCAUAUUGGAUCCUACAUAUUCUACGAAGAUCUUAUCGUUUGAACCUCAGUGCCAAGGAUUCAUAUAAUCUCGUAUGUCAUUCCCUUUGUCCUUCGGUAUGUUACUUGCCCGUGAUUCGAUCGUCAGUAUCCUCAUACCUAUUUCAAUCUCGUUUAUCGGCAAGUAUCUUUACUCCUUCCGUAAUACAAGAUCCCGCAACUUACACUAAGUCACAUUGGUUGCAAGGCUUGUGUGUGAUGUUGUAUUACCGAGUGGGCCCCGAGAUACCUCUCCGUCAUACGGAGUGACAAAUCCGAGUCUCGAUCCAUACUAACUCAACGAACACCUUCGGAGAUACCUGUAGAGCAUCUUUAUAGUCACCCAGUUACGUUGCGACAUUUGAUACACACAAAGCAUUCCUCCGGUGUCAGUGAGUUAUAUGAUCUCAUGGUCAUAGGAACAAAUACUUGACACGCAGAAAACAGUAGCAACAAAAUGACACGAUCAGCAUGCUACGUCUAUUAGUUUGGGUCUAGUCCAUCACAUGAUUCUCCUAAUGAUGUGAUCCCGUAAUCAAGUAGCAACACUGUUAGAGCAUAUAUCUCCAUAUGUGGUUUUGGUAAUUGAUGACAAUUCCUAUGGACUAAUGGUUGCCUUAAGUUACAUUUAUAGGAUUUGUCCAUAGGCACUUCUUGAAGUCCAUCUGUUGGGUUCAAGGAGUUUAUAUGAUGACCAAGAUGGUAUUCAAGGUAUUAUCCAAAGAAUGGUCAUAGAGACACAUGGUUGAUCAAGAUCUCAGACAAAGAGUAAAUCAAGAUGAUCAACACACAAAACGUACAAGAUGUACCGAGAGGGAUCAAGUGAUCCCAUGGUAUGGUAAGCAUUGUCCAUUACGUAUUUGUGUACUAACCCAUGGUCUUCGUGAGAGUUCUAUGUGGGGGUUAGGUGUGUUUCCAUGGGCUUGCGUCAAAGGGAAGAUCUCAUACAACCCAUGAGCAAAUCAAGAUGAUCAACACACAAAGCGUACAAGAUGUACCGAGAGGGAUCAAGUGAUCCCAUGGUAUGGUAAGCAUUGUCCAUUACGUGUUUGCGUACUAACCCAUGGUCUUCGUGAGAGUUCUAUGUGAGGGUUAGGUGUGUUUCCAUGGGCUUGCGUCAAAGGGAAGAUCUCAUACAACCCAUGGAGUAUGACGUCAAGUUGUGAUCGUCAUCAAGAUUGCGGUGUGCAAGUUCAAGUGGAUCAGCACGAAGAUAGCAUGCUUGAAGCUUGCCGUCCACUAUGAUGGCAAUGGACUUGUGAAGAUAUGCUGAAGAGUGGCUCACCCAUAGUGAGUAUGGGGAGCAAUCACUAGUCUUCAUCAAGCCAACACAAUCAAGAAAGGUGGUCCAUCUUGAGGAAGCCAAGAUCAUCAUCAUCUAGCUCAAGAGGAUGAGGUGCAAGGUAUAGGUUUGCCCUUGAUAGGUUUUCUGGUUAGGAUAGAUUGUUGUUCUAUCAAGGGGGGCUCUCAAGUGAGUAGCUUGAUCGUAUCGUUCAUUGAGAGCUCAAACCAUUUGCAUCCUUGCAUCAUACUUCUUGGUUCUUAUUUGGUGUUUCUCUUUGUGAGUUUUAGAGAUUAUGGUCAUCUUCAUGACAAGCUCGAGUUCAUCGAAAAUGGAGUCCAUAUGCAACUACUAUGAUGUUUUCGAUGUUGGAGUUUUUGCCGGUUCUUCAUUCUUAGAGGACUCACAUCUUUAUAUCAUUGACAUUUUCAUAUCAUUGGUCGCUGUUUGGAUAGCCCUUGUCGUCCUGAAUCCAACAAGCUUGGGUUUGCUCGAUUCGGAGCUCGUAUGCGAAAGUUAUGGCUGUUUCAGUGGCGAGCGGUAGUACCGCUGGACCUAGCGGUAGUACCGCUAGAGUUGGCGGUAGUACCGCUGGCCCAAGCGGUAGUACCGCUGGCUGGCGGUAGUACCGCUGGCCCAAGCGGUAGUACCGCUGGCUGGCGGUAGUACCGCUGGCCCAAGCGGUAGUACCGCUGGCUGGCGGUAGUACCGCCCCUGGUCAGCGGUAGUACCGCUCCAGGAGCUUAGUACCGCCUGCCUAGCGGUUGUUCGUGGACGGACCUUUUUGCGAAGACUUUCUUGGCGGUGGUAGUGCCGUUGCACUACCAGGGGCCCAGUGGUAGUACCGCUGGAGUGCCAGCGGUAGUACCGCUGCAGCUAGUGGUAGUACCGCUAGCUGGCGGUAGUACCGCUGCAGCCAGCGGUAGUACCGCUGGAGCUCGGGCAGAAAGUGGGGGUAACGGUCUCAUUCCUUCCCCCACUAUAUAAAGGGGGUCUUCUUCCCCCUUGGUCUUAUCCAUCCGUUGAGCUCUUGUUCUACCUCCAUUGUUGACAUUCUUAGAGCUUGAUUACUCUCUAUCCCUCCAAUGAUUCUUGCUUGUUCUUGAGGGAAAAGAGAGAGGAGAUCUAGAUCCACAUCUCCACCAAUCACUUUCUCCUCUAUGUGAGGGGAACCCCUUGGAUCUUGAUCUUGGAGUUCUUUGUGAGCUCCUUGUUCUUCCUCUCAUAUUUCUCCAUAGCUUUUGUUGUUGUGGAGGGAUUUGAGUGUGAGGGACUUGACCACUUCAUGUGUUCUUGCCAUUGCAUUAGUUGCAUCGGUUUGAGUUCUCCACGGUGAUACGUGGAAGUGAGAAGUUGAGAAGCUUACUACCUUUGGUACUUAGUACCCUUGAUAUUGUUCUUCGUGGAUGCUUUGGCGUCCUAGAAGCUUGGUGGUGUCUCGGAGCUCAAUCAUUGUGGUGUGAAGCUCCGGGAAGCGUCGGGGUCUCCAAUUAGGUUGUGGAGAUUGCCCCGAGCAAUUUGUACGGGUACCGGUAACCGCCCCCAAGGGUUGCCACGUGUACGGGUUCGGUGACUGCCCCCAAGGGUUGCCAUUUGUACGGGUUCGGUGACCGCCCUCAAGGGUCCCUUAGUGGAAUCACGACAUCUUGCAUUGUGCGAGGGCGUGAGGAGAUUACGGUGGCCUUAGUGGCAUCUUGGGGAGCAUUGUGCCUCCACACCGCUCUAACGGAGAUUAACAUCCGCAAGGGUGUGAACUUCGGGAUACAUCAUCGUCUCCCCGUGCCUCGGUUAUCUCUUACCCGAACCCUUUACUUAUGCACUUUACUUUGUGAUAGACAUAUUGUUUAUUGUAAUAUAUCUUGCUAUCACUUAGUUGUUUAUCUUGCUUAGCAUAAGUUGUUGGUGCACAUAGGUGAGCCUAGUUGUUUGUAGGUUUUGUGCUUGACAUAUUAAACGUUAGUUUUAUUCCGCAUUUGUUCAAGCCUAAACCUUAACUAUUUUAAAGCGCCUAUUCACCCCCCCUCUAGGCGACAUCCACGUCCUUUUCAAACACUUGCCUAUGGCCAGGAAACAUUCACCAUCUUUGAUCAACGAGCUAGUCAACUAGAGGCUUACUAGGGACAGUGUUUUGUCUAUGUAUCCACACAAGUAUUGUGUUUCCAAUCAAUGCAAUUAUAGCAUGGAUAAUAAACAAUUAUCAUGAACAAAGAAAUAUAAUAAUAACUAAUUUAUUAUUGCCUCUAGGGCAUAUUUCCAACAGUCUCCCACUUGCACUAGAGUCAAUAAGCUAGUUCACAUCACCAUGUGAUUCCAACGAAUCCAACACCCAUAUAGUCAUGGGGUCUGAUCACAUCUUGCUCGUGAGAGCGGUUUUAGUCAACGGUUCUGAAACUUUCAGACCCGUGUGUUCUUUACAAAUCUUUAUGUCAUCUUAUAGAUGCUGCUACUAUGUGCUAUUCGGAAAUACUCCAAAUAUCUACUCUACUAUACGAAUCCGUUUCACUACUCAUAGUUAUUCGGAUUAGUGUCAAAGCUUGCAUGCNNNNNNNNNNNNNNNNNNNNNNNNNNNNNNNNNNNNNNNNNNNNNNNNNNNNNNNNNNNNNNNNNNNNNNNNNNNNNNNNNNNNNNNNNNNNNNNNNNNNGCCACGGCAGCCCGAUCACAUACCUCCAUGAGUUUUUCCUCUAGAUCGUAUUUCUGCGGAGCUCCGGGUGGAGCCCUGCYGGGAUAGAUCACCACCAACAUCCGGAGCGCCGUCACGCUGCCGGAGAACUCAUCUACCUCUCCGUCUCUCUUGCUGGAUCAAGAAGGCCAAGAUCAUCGUCGCGCUGUACGUGUGCUGAACGCGGAGGUGCCGUCCGUUCUGCACUAGAUCGGAGCGGAUUGUGGGACGGAUCGCGGGACGGUUCGUGGGACGGUUCGCGGGGCGGAUCGAGGGACGUGAGGACGCUCCACUACAUCAACCGCGUUUCUUAACGCUUCCUGCUGUGCGAUCUACAAGGGUACGUAGAUCGGAAAUCCCCUCUUGUAGAUGGACAUCACCAUGGUAGGUAUUGCAUGUGCAUAGGAAUUUUUUGUUUCCCGUACCAUGUUCCCCAACAGUGGCAUCAUGAGCUAGGUUCAUGCGUAGAUGUCAUCUCGAGUAGAACACAAAAGUUUUUGUGGGCGGUGAUGUGCGAUUUGCUGCCCUCCUUAGUCUUUCCUUGAUUCCGCGGUAUUGUUGGAUCGAAGCGGCUCGGACCGACAUUACUCGUACACUUACGAGAGACUGGUUUCAUCGCUACGAGCAACCCCGUUGCUCAAAGAUGACUGGCGAGUGUCGGUUUCUCCAACUUUAGUUGAAUCUGAUUUGACCGAGGAGGUCCUUGGAGAGAGGUUAAAUAGAAAUUCAUACAUCCCCAUUGUGGUGUUNNNNNNNNNNNNNNNNNNNNNNNNNNNNNNNNNNNNNNNNNNNNNNNNNNNNNNNNNNNNNNNNNNNNNNNNNNNNNNNNNNNNNNNNNNNNNNNNNNNNAGUUACCGGGAAUGUACCGGGAAUGACGAAUGGGUUCCGGGAGUUCACCGGGGGGGGGGGGGCAACCCACCCCGGGGAAGCCCAUAGGCAUUGAGGGACCCACACCAGCCCUUAGUGGGCUGGUGGGACAGCCCACAAGUGCCCAAUGCGCCAAGAGAAGAAAAAUCAAGAGGAAAGAAAAAAAAGGAAGGAGGUGGGAAGGGAGGGGGACUCCUCCCACCAAACCAAGUCCAACUCGGUUUGGGGGGGGGAGGUCCUCCCCCCUUGGCUCGGCCGACUCCUUGGGGGUCCUUGGACCCCAAGGCAAGGCCCCCCUCCCUCCUCCUAUAUAUAUGGAGCUUUUAGGGCAGAUUUGAGACGAUUUUUUCUCACGGCUGUCCGACCACAUACCUCCAUAGUUUUUCCUCUAGAUCGCGUUUCUGCGGAGCUCGGGCGGAGCCCUGCUGAGACAAGAUCAUCACCAACCUCCGGAGCGCCGUCACGCUGCCGGAGAACUCUUCUACCUCUUCGUCUCUCUUGCUGGAUCAAGAAGGCCGAGAUCAUCGUCGAGCUGUACGUGUGCUGAACGCGGAGGUGCCGUCCGUUCGGUACUAGAUCGUGGGACUGAUCGCGGGAUUGUUCGCGGGGCGGAUCGAGGGACGUGAGGACGUUCCACUACAUCAACCGCGUUCUCUAACGCUUCUGCUGUACGGUCUACAAGGGUACGUAGAUCUCUCAUCCCCUCUCGUAGAUGGACAUCACCAUGAUAGGUCUUCGUGCGNNNNNNNNNNNNNNNNNNNNNNNNNNNNNNNNNNNNNNNNNNNNNNNNNNNNNNNNNNNNNNNNNNNNNNNNNNNNNNNNNNNNNNNNNNNNNNNNNNNNCGACGUAACCCUUUACGACGAACUCUUUAACCACCUCCAUAAUCGAGAAAAAUUCCUUAGUCCAUCAGUUACUAAGGAUAAAUUUUGACCGCUGCUAGUGAUUCAAUAAUGGAUCACUCUCUGUACCUCUCAACAGACAUUGAGUCAAGGCACUCAUCAGGUGCAGUACCCAGCAUGGCAUACUUCAGAUUCUACGGCCAAGGCAUAGAAGACGACCUUCGUCUAUUCUCUUUAUUCUGCCGGGGUCGGGUUUUGAGUCUUACUCAAAUUCACACCUCACAACGCAACCAAGAACUCCUUCUUUGCUGAUCUAUUUUGAACUCCUUCAAAAACUUGUCAAGGCAUGCAUCUUGUUGAAACUUCUAUUAAGCGUUUUGAUCUAUCUCCAUAGAUCUUGAUGCUCAACGUUCAAGUAGCUCAAUCCAGGUAUUUCUUUGAAAAACUCCUUUCAAACAACCUUUUAUGCUUCACAGAAAUUCUACAUUACUUACGAUCAUCAAUAUGUCAACCACAUAUACUUAUCAGAAAUUCUAUAGUGCUCCCACUCACUUCUUUGAAAAUACAAGUUUCUCAUAAACCUUGUACAAACCCAAAAUCUUUGAUCAUCUCAUCAAAGUGUAUAUUCCAACUCCGAGAUGCUUGCACCAGUCCAAUGAAGGAUCGCUGGAGCUUGCAUACUUGUUAGUAUCUUUAGGAUCAACAAGACCUCCUGGUUGUAUCACAUACAAUGUUUGCUCAAGGAAACCGUCGAGGAAACAAUGUUUUGUCUUCCUAUGUGCAAUAUUUCACAAAUAAUGCAACAACUACUAACAUAAUUCCAACAGACUUUUAGCAUCGCUAUGAGUGAGAAAGUGUCAUCAUAGUCAACUAUUUGAUCUUGUCAGAAACAUCUUUGCGACAAGUUGAGCUUUUCUUAAUAGUGACUUAUCACCAUCAUCGUCUGUCUUUCUUACAAAGAUCCAUCUUUACUCAAUAGUCUUAUGACCAUCAAGUAGUUCUUCCAAAGUCUACACUUUGUUUUCAUACAUGGAUCCUCUCUCGGAUUUCAUGGCCUCCAGCCAUUUGUCGGAAUCCGGGCCCACCAUUGCUUUCUCCAUAACUCGUAGGUUCAUUGUUGCUCAACAACAUGACCUCCAAGACAGGGUUACCGUACCACUCUGCAGUAGUACGCAACCUUGUCGACCUACGAGGUUUGUAGUAACUUGAUCCGAAGCUCAAUGAUCACCAUCAUCAGCUUCCACUUUAAUUGGUGUAGGCGCCACAGGAACAACUUCCUGCUCCCUGCUACACACUGGUUGAAGUGAUGGUUCAAUAACCUUAUCAAGUUCUACCACCCUCCCACUCAAUUCUUUCGAGAGAAACCUUUCCUCAAGAAAGGAUCCGUUUCUAAAAACAAACACUUUGCUUUCGGAUCUGAGAUAGGAGAUGUACCCAACUGUUUUGGAUAUCCUAUGAAGAUGCAUUUAUCCGUUUUGGGUUCGAGCUUAUCAGACUGAAACUUUUUCACAUAAGUGUCGAAGCCCCAAACUUUCAAGAAACGACAGUUUAGAUUUCUCUAAACCUCAGUCUAUACUGUGUCAUCCCAACGGAAAUACGCGGUGCCCUAUUUAAAGUGAAUGCGGUUGUCUCUAAUGCAUAACCCAUAAACGAUAGUGGUAAUUCGAUAAGAGACAUCAUAGCAUGCACCAUCCCAGAUAGUGCGUGGCUAUGACGUUCAGACACAUCAUCACAUUAUGAUGUUCCAGGUGGCAUGAACUGCGAAACAAUUUCCACAUUGUCUUAACUACGUACCAAAACUCGUAACUCAGAUAUUCAUUUCUAUGAUCAUAUCGUAGAUCGUUUAUCCUCUUGUUACGAAGAACUUCACUCCGAAACAGAAUUGAACUUUUCAAUAUUUCAGACUUGUGAUUCAUUAAGUAAAUACUCUUGUAUCUACUCAAAUCAUCAUUGAAGUAAGAACAUAAUAAUAUCCACUGCGUGCCUCAGCACCCAUUGGACUGCAUACAUCAAAAUGUAUCACUUCCAACAAGUUACUAUCUUGUUUCAUCUCAAUGAAAACAAGGCCUUGCUCAUGUGGUAUGAUUUGCAUGUCACUAGUGAUUCAAAAUCAAGUGAGUAUAAAGAUCCAUCAGCAUGGAGCCUCUUCAUGCAAUUUGUACCAACAUGACUCAAGCGGCAGUGCCACAAGUAAGUCGUACUAUCAUCAUUACCUCGUAUCUUUUGGCACCAAUAUUAUGAACAUGUGUAACACUACGAUCGAGAUUCAAUAAACCAUUGAAGGUGAUUUAUUCAAGCAAAUAGAGUAACCAUUAUUCUCUUUAAAUGAAUAAUCGUAUUGCAAUAAACACGAUCCAAUCAUGUUCAUGCUUAACGCAAGUACCAAAUAACAAUCAUUUAGGUUUAACACCAAUCCCGAUGGUAGAUGGAGUGUGCGACGUUUGAUCAUAUCAACCUUGGAAACACUUCCAACACGUAUCGUCACCUCGCCUUUAGCUAGUCUGCGUUUAUGCCGUAGCUUUCAUUUCGUGUCACUAAUCACUUAGCAACCGAACCGGUAUCUAAUACCCUCGUGCUACUAGGAGUACUAGUAAAGUACACAUCAAUAUCAUGUAUAUCAAAUAUACUUCUCUCGACUUUUGCCAGCCUUCUUAUCUACCAAGUAUCUAGAGUUGCUCCGCCUCAGUGACUGUUCCCCUCAUUACAGAAGCACUUAGUCUCGGGUUUGGGUUUAAUCUUGGGUCUCUUCAUCAGUGCAACAACUGUUUUGUCGUUUCACGAAGUAUCCCUUCUAGCCCUUGCCUUUCUUGGAACUUAGUGGUUUUACUAACCAUCAACUAUUGAUGCUCCUUCUUGAUUUCUACUUCCGCAGUGUCAAACAUCGCGAAUCGCUCAAGGAUCAUUGUAUCUAUCCUUGAUAUGUUAUAGUUCAUCACGAAGCUCUCACAGCUUGGUGGCAGUGACUUUGGAGAACCAUCACUAUCUCAUCUGGAAGAUUAACUCCCACUUGAUUCAAGCGAUUGUCGUACUCAGACAAUAUGAGCACACGCUCAACGAUUGAGCUUUUCUCCUUUACUUUGUAGACAAAGAAUCUAGAGUGGCCUAGCACAUGCACAUAUUGUCUAGCACAUGCACAUAUUGGCCUAGCACACUCUAGAUUCUAGACAAUAUGUGCAUGUGCUAGGCCACUCUAGAUUCUUUGUCCACAAAGUAAAGGAGAAAAGCUCAAUCGUUGAGCGUGUGCUCAGAUUGCCUGAGUACGACAAUCGCUUGAAUCAAGCGGGAGCUAAUCUUCCAGAUGAGAUAGUGAUGGUUCUCCAAAGUCACUUCCACCAAGCUGUGAGAGCAUCGUGAUGAACUAUAACAUAUCAAGGAUAGAUACAAUGAUCCUUGAGCGAUUCGCGAUGUUUGACACUGCGAAAGUAGAAAUCAAGAAGGAGCAUCAAUAGUUGAUGGUUAGUAAAACCACUAAGUUCCAAGAAAGGCAAGGGCUAGAAGGGAUACUUCGUGAAACGGCAAAACAGUUGUUGCACUGAUGAAGAGACCCAAGAUUAAACCCAAACCCGAGACUAAGUGCUUCUUUAAUGAGGGGAACAGUCACUGAGGCGGAGCAACUCUAGAUACUUGGUAGAUAAGAAGGCUGGCAAAAGUCGAGAGAAGUAUAUUUGAUAUACAUGAUGUUGAUGUGUACUUUACUAGUACUCCUAGUAGCAUGAGGGUAUUGGAUACCGGUUCGGUUGCUAAGUGAUUAGUGACACGAAAUGAAAGCUACGGCAUAAACGCAGACUAGCUAAAGGCGAGGUGACGAUACGUGUUGGAAGUGUUUCCAAGGUUGAUAUGAUCAAACGUCGCACACUCCAUCUACCAUCGGGAUUGGUGUUAAACCUAAAUGAUUGUUAUUUGGUACUUGCGUUAAGCAUGAACAUGAUUGGAUCGUGUUUAUUGCAAUACGAUUAUUCAUUUAAGGAGAAUAAUGGUUACUCUAUUUGCUUGAAUAAAUCACCUUCAAUGGUUUAUUGAAUCUCGAUCGUAGUGUUACACAUGUUCAUGAUAUUCGUGCCAAAAGAUACGAGGUAAUGAUGAUAGUACGACUUACUUGUGGCACUGCCGCUUGAGUCAUGUUGGUACAAAUUGCAUGAAGAGGCUCCAUGCUGAUGGAUCUUUAUACUCACUUGAUUUUGAAUCACUAGUGACAUGCAAAUCAUACCACAUGAGCAAGGCCUUGUUUUCAUUGAGAUGAAAUAAGAUAGUAACUUGUUGGAAGUGAUACAUUUUGAUGUAUGCAGUCCAAUGGGUGCUGAGGCACGCAGUGGAUAUCAUUAUGUUCUUACUUCAAUGACGAUUUGAGUAGAUACUAGAGUAUUUGCUUAAUGAAUCACAAGUCUGAAAUAUUGAAAAGUUCAAUUCUGUUUCGGAGUGAAGUUCGUCGUAACAAGAGGAUAAACUGUCUACGAUAUGAUCAUAGAAAUGAACAUCUGAGUUACGAGUUUUGGUACGCAGUUAAGACAAUGUGGAAAUUGUUUCGCAGUUCAUGCCACCUAGAACAUCAUAGUGUGAUGAUGUGUCUGAACGUCAUAGCCACACACUAUCUGGUAUGGUGCAUGCUAUGAUGUCUCUUACCGAAUUACCACUAUCGUUUAUGGGUUAAGCAUUGGAGACAACCGCAUUCACUUUAAAUAGGGCACCACGUAUUUCCGUUGAGAUGACAUAGUAUAGACUGAGGUUUUGAGAAAUCUAAACUGUCGUUUCUUGAAAGUUUGGGGUUUCGACACUUAUGUGAAAAAGUUUCAGUCUGAUAAGCUCGAACCCAAAGCGGAUAAAUGCAUCUUCAUAGGAUAUCCAAAACAGUUGGGUACAUCUCCUAUCUGAGAUCCGAAAGCAAAGUGUUUGUUUCUAGAAACGGAUCCUUUCUCGAGGAAAGGUUUCUCUCGAAAGAAUUGAGUGGGAGGGUGGUAGAACUUGAUGAGGUUAUUGAACCAUCACUCCUACCAGUGUGUAGCAGGGCGUAGGAAGUUGUUCCUGUGGCGCCUACACCAAUUGAAGUGAAAGCUGAUGAUGGUGAUCAUCGAGCAUCGGAUCAAGUUACUACAAGCCUCGUAGGUUGACAAGGUCGCGUACUACUACAGAGUGGUACGGUAACCCUGUCUUGGAGGUCAUGUUGUUGAGCAACAGUGAACCUACGAGUUAUGGAGAAAGCAAUGGUGGGCCCAGAUUCCGACAAAUGGCUGGAAGCCAUGAAAUCCGAGAGAGGAUCCAUGUAUGAAAACAAAGUGUAGACUUUGGAAGAACUACUUGAUGGUCAUAGGACUAUUGAGUAAGGAUGGAUCUUUAAAAGGAAGACAUACGAUGAUAGUGAUAAGUUACUAUUAAGAAAAGUUCGACUUGUCGCAAAGAUGUUUCCGACAAGAUCAAACAGUUGACUAUGAUGAGACUUUGUCACUCGUAGCGAUGCUGAAAGUCUGUUAGAAUUAUGUUAGUAGUUGCUGCAUUAUUUAUGAAAUAUUGCAUGUAGGAUGUCAAAACAUUGUUUCCUCGACGGUUUCCUUGAGCAAACAUUGUAUGAGAUACAACCAUGAGGUUUUGUCGAUCCUAAAGAUACUAGCAAGUAUGCAAGCUCCAGCGAUCCUUAAAUGGACUGGUGCAAGCAUCUCAGAGUUGGAAUAUACACUUUGAUGAGAUGAUCAAGGAUUUUGGGUUUGUACAAGGUUUAUGAGAAACUUGUACUUCCAAAGAAGUGAGUGGGAGCACUAUAGAAUUUCUGAUAAGUAUAUGUGGUUGACAUAUUGUGGAUCAGAAGUAAUGUAGAAUUUCUGUAAAGCAUACAAGGUUGUUUGAAAGGAGUUUUCAAAGGAAUACCUGGAUUGAGCUACAUGAACGUUGAGCAUCAAAGAUCUAUGGAGAUAGAUCGAAAGCGCUUAAUGGAAGUUUCAACAAGAUGCAUACCUUGACAAGUUUUGAAGGAGUUCAAAAUAGAUCAGCAAAGAAGGAGUUCUUGGUUGCGUUGUAAGGUGUGAAUUUGAGUAAGACUCGGAACCCGACCACGGCAGAAUAAAGAGAAUAGACGAAGGUCGUCUUCUAUGCCUUAGCCGUAGACUCUAAAGUAUGCCAUGCUGAGUACCGCACCUGAUGUGUGCCUUGCAGCAAGUCUGUUGAGAGGUACAAAGAGUGAUCCAUGAUUGAAUCACUAGCAGCGGUCAAAAUUUGUCCUUAGUAACUGAUGGACUAAGGAAUUUUUCUCGAUUAUGGAGGUGGUUAAAGAGUUCGUCGUAAAGGGUUACGUCGAUGUAAGCUUUAACACUAAUCCGAAUAACUAUGAGUAGUGAAACGGAUUCGUAUGGUAGAGUAGAUAUUUGGAGUAUUUUCGAAUAGCACAUAGUAGCAGCAUCUAUAAGGUGACAUAAAGAUUUGUAACGAACACACGGAUCUGAAAAUUUUAGAACCGUUGACUAAAACCUCUCUCAUGAGCAAGACGUGAUCAGACCCCAUAACUAUAUGGGUGUUGGAUUCGUUGGAAUCACAUGGUGAUGUGAACUAGAUUAUUGACUCUAGUGCAAGUGGGAGACUGUUGGAAAUAUGCCCUAGAGGCAAUAAUAAAUUAGUUAUUAUUAUAUUUCUUUGUUCAUGAUAAUCGUUUAUUAUCCAUGCUAUAAUCGUAUUGAUUGGAAACACAGUCCAUGUGUGGAUACAUAGACAAAACACUGUCCCUAGUAAGCCUCUAGUUGACUAGCUCGUUGAUCAAAGAUGGUCAAGGUUUCCUGACCAUAGGCAAGUGUUGUCACUUGAUAACGGGAUCACAUCAUUAGGAGAAUCAUGUGAUGGACUAGACCCAAACUAAUAGACGUAGCAUGUUGAUCGUGUCAUUUUGUUGCUACUGUUUUCUGCGUGUCAAGUAUUUGUUCCUAUGGCCAUGAGAUCAUAUAACUCACUGACACCGGAGGAAUGCUUUGUGUGUAUCAAACGUCGUAACGUAAUUGGGUGACUAUAAAGAUGCUCUACAGAUAUCUCCGAAGGUGUUAGUUGAGUUAGUAUGGAUCGAGACUGGGAUUUGUCACUCCGUGUGACGGAGAGGUAUCUUGGGGCCCACUCGGUAAUACAACAUCACACACAAGCCUUGCAAGCAAUGUGACUUAGUGUAAGUUGCGGGAUCUUGUAUUACGGAACGAGUAAAGAGACUUGCCGGUAAACGAGAUUGAAAUAGGUAUGCGGAUACUGACGAUCGAAUCUCGGGCAAGUAACAUACCGAAGGACAAAGGGAAUGACAUACGGGAUUAUAUGAAUCCUUGGCACUGAGGUUCAAACGAUAAGAUCUUCGUAGAAUAUGUAGGAUCCAAUAUGGGCAUCCAGGUCCCGCUAUUGGAUAUUGACCGAGGAGUCUCUCGGGUCAUGUCUACAUAGUUCUCGAACCCGCAGGGUCUGCACACUUAAGGUUCGACGUUGUUUUAUGUGUAUUUGAGUUAUAUGGUUGGUUACCGAAUGUUGUUCGGAGUCCCGGAUGAGAUCACGGACAUCACGAGGGUUUCCGGAAUGGUCCAGAAACGAAGAUUGAUAUAUAGGAUGACCUCAUUUGAUUACCGGAAGGUUUUCGGAGUUACCGGGAAUGUACCGGGAACGACGAAUGGGUUCCGGGUGUUCACCGGGGGGGCAACCCACCUCGGGGAAGCCCAUAGGCCUUGGGCUGGCGCACCAGCCCUUAGUGGGCUGGUGGGACAGCCCAAGAAGGCCAUAUGCGCCAUAAGAAGAAAAUCAAAGAGAACAGGAAAGAAAAAGGGGAAGUGGAAAAAAGGGGAAUGACUCCUCCUUCCAAACCUAGUUGGAUUCGGUUUGGAAGGGGAGGACUCCCCCCUUUGGCUCGGCCGACCCCCUUGGGGAUCCUUGGACCCCAAGGCAAGGCCCCCCCCUCUCCCACCUAUAUAUACGGAGAUUUUAGGGCUGAUUUGAGACAACUUUUGCCACGGCAGCCCGACCACAUACCUCCACGGUUUUACCUCUAGAUCACGUUUCUGCGGAGCUCGGGCGGAGCCCUGCUGAGAUUAGAUCACCACCAACCUCCGGAGCGCCGUCACGCUGCCGGAGAACUCAUCUACCUCUCCGUCUCUCUUGCUGGAUCAAGAAGGCCGAGAUCAUCGUCGAGCUGUACGUGUGCUGAACGGGGAGGUGCCGUCCGUUCGGCACUAGAUCGGAGCGGAUCGUGGGACGGAUCGCGGGAUGGUUCGUGGGACGGUUCGCGGGGUGGAUCGAGGGACGUGAGGACGUUCCACUACAUCAACCGCGUUUCUUAACGCUUCUGCUGUGCGAUCUACAAGGGUACGUAGAUCGGAAAUCCCCUCUCGUAGAUGGACAUCACCAUGAUAGGUCUUCGUGCGCGUAGGAAAAUUUUUGUUUCCCAUGCGACGUGCCCCAACACUCUAUGUCGGCCCUCUCGACAAAGUCGUCACAGCUCCAGUAGGCGCCCGCGCCCGCGAACUCGCGCACCUCGCCGCUGGUCCUAGCGAACCGCGACAUCGGGUCACCGUGGUGGCCGAGCACGUCGAACGCGACCACUGCCAUUUUUAUUUUUUUGAGCCGGUGUGCUCGUCACCGUGGCACCACCUAUUUCUGCUCCAGGCGAAGUUGCUGUGCACGAGGCCAGGCUGUGUGCUGGGAGUUUCGUCCCCCUGCACCCUCGUCAGCUCCCCCCGCCCCGUCCCGCCCCCGCUCCACCGCCGACGUAAGCACCACCCAACACCCUCCCCUCAAGAUCCAAUCCACGCUCGCCCGCUCGCCUCGCGCAAUGCCCCGCUCCUGACCAUGUCCUCGCUCUCGAUCCCGGCUCCGCUCCUGCGCUCCUCGCCGUCUCCGUCUCCACCCGCGAACUGAAGGAGGCGCGCCGCGCGUGCGGGUGUGCGGGGACCGGGAUGGAGCAGCAGCACCUCCAGGCAGGGAGCGCCUCCGGCAGCCCAGGUUCGUGGGGACGGCGCACACCGGUGGGCCGGCAGCGCGCGAUGAGGCGGGACGGGCGCGGCAGGAGGUGGCGGUGCGCUGGAGGUGAAGAUGAAGAUGGGGAUUGGAAGGCAGGGGACGAGCGGUGGUUGCGUUCUAAGUAAUGCGGGGGAAUUUUGUGAAAAACUGAAACGUUUUUUAACUUACAAAAGGACCGUGGGUUGAUUUUUAGAAAAUAGAGGGGCCAUUUUACAAAAAGGCCGACGGCGUUUGUUAUUAGGGGAGAAGAUAAAAAUAGAGCUCAUAAUUUGAUUCGAAAGAAAAAGAACCCCAUGAUUUGUGCAUGUGUGGGUUGCGAGCGUAACAUGGCCCGGUCGAUCGACCCAUGUGAGCCUGCACUGGACGCGGGCUACGAGUUCCGGAAUCUGCUAACAUGCGGGUGCCUCUGUGCUGACAGUUGACACCGCCCGGCAUUUUUUGUUUCCUUUUCUUGUAGGCAAGAACAUACAGCUAGCUCGAUCAGGGGUUCUUUUGAGAUGUAGCACCCACAAAACGAAAAGAUAUCCCCCUAAAAGAAAACAUGAAAAGACAUAAUUUCCACCGAAAUUGGAAAUAUAAUAACUCCAUUGGGACAGAAAAGGUACUACUUAUAACGUACUAAUAAAUAAACCAAUUUCUAACCGGUUAAGCAUAAUUAACAGGCACUUAUUGGACAAUGUAGGAGCAUUAUGUAGGAGUAUAUAUAUUGUGCCAGAACUGACGAUACUCGUCGUGCUGGAAAGGGAAUAAUUACUAGGAUCUCCGUAUAGAACCGUUAGAAAAGGAACCCCGAUCCGUACCAGCGCAUUUUUGUGAGACAUUUAAGAAAACAAGUUGGAUUUGUGAUAACGGUGCAUGAUUUGGUUUUGUUAUUGCAUGGUCGAUUCCCUCUUGGGUUUGCACGUGGCUCUCUGCUAAUCAUGUGAGGAUGGCUCAUGAGUGAAGCGCGCACUGACCCAAUAGAAAUGGCGAGCCCGGUCCUGAGAUUCCUGUACAUGCGCCUCAUGACAUGAGUGCCAUUUGUUUACGCUCGUAGGAAGCUUCGUGGCGACAUCCGAAACGUACGGAGGACAUACAGUAUAUACUCGCCAGCCAGCCAGCCAGCCAGCCAUGUCAACCAAGAGAGCAGCAGCCGGUAGUACACUAGUACGUACGUGCCAAGUUGGCUAUACUUUGCAAAGAUGAGAGCACCACAUCAGCAAACACGAAUGUUAAUCUCGUAAUCAUGCAGAUGCUUAUAUGCUUAACUGAUGGCCACGUCCAGCAAGCAAGCUAGUCCUUAAACCAGACGCGGGUAGGAGCCAUGCACAUGCACAGGCAUGCAGCUCCGCGCGCCAUGGAUAUGCAUGCGCAAAGUCAAUGCCCUUUGGAGCCAAGAACUGCCAGAUCGCUCACAAAUUAAAUCACUACCCCAUGUUAGUAGGAGUACUGGUGAACAGGCUCAUAAUAAUUGAGAAAACAAAUUGCAGACGAGCGUGCGCUGGGCAGGCUAUAUAUACGUCUGUGGUGCCCUGUAGUUCACUCAAGCAGGCGGUAGCAUCAUAUCGUAGUAGUAGCUAGAGGCUAGAGCUAGCCAGGCAGGCAGGUCUCCUCGUCCUCAGUAGUUUUCUGACUCUUGAAGAUGUCGCAGAGGCCGGGGAGGCACCAGAGGAGGGCGUCGCAGAGCGUGUUCUCCCUGCCGGAGAACUUCGCCAGCCUGGAGGACGUGCCGGCGGACGGCGUCGGCGAGCAGCGGAAGCCCGCCGCGGCGGGGGCGGACGCCUCCGAGCAGCAGCAGCCCGCCAGGCCGGCGGCGGGGCGCCACCGGCGGGCAAUGUCGAUGGCCGUGCCCUCCAGGGACCUGGACAUGAUCGCGGAGGACAUGGGAAGCUACAGCAAGUACGGCGCCUGAUUGGUAGAAAGACGUACGUCUAGUUCAUUCACGCUGGUGUGUUUAUGUACGUACGUGUUCUUCCGUGGCCGGUGGGUACGUUAGGUGUAAACCAGUUGGUUGUUUUGUUCUGUGCUGUGUUUUUCCUGCUUCUCUGAAUGUGUACUCCUCCUUUGCCUGCCUGACCAGAGUAAAAAAAUCCCGCUGUUGCAAAUUUGUUGUGUAUGGCAUUCACGGGGUGUUUCUUUACAGGGACUUUUUACUGUAAGGAUUAAAAAAAAGGAUUUUUAGGGACUAAAAGAGGUACUUUGGGACUAAAGGAAGAAGUCGUUAUGGAAGAGUCUUUUUGAUACUUUUUUGAUACUUUUUCCAACAGUGCUCCUACUUUUAGCAUGUCAUUUUACAAUUUCUAAUAUAUUAGUAGGGGUAACAUGAUCUUUUUGCAGGUCAUUUAAUGACCUCUAAUCUUUAUUUAGUCUCUGAAAAAAAAACUAGGAACUUUUUAGUUAAGAUUAAAAAAA
rnacentral:lncRNA from 1 species